rnacentral:lncRNA from 1 species
CUUAUCCCACUUAGUAGUCGUUGAGAGGAAGUGGAUGGACCAAGAUAGACAUGAGAGGGUGGAGAUGGAGAUGAAGUAGAAGAAAGGGUGGAAGAAGGAAAGGAAGUUGGAUAUAUAAGGAAGACAGGAGCAUGGAAGGGAAAAUGUAGAGGGAGCGGUAGAAUCAGAAAAUAGAAGUAGUUUUAAGUGGCAAAGUAGAUUUAUUGAAAACCACAUGCCUAUGUACAGGUGACCAGUAAGUGGAUGGACUCGGAUAGACAUGUGAGAGGGUGGAGGUGGAGAUGAAGUAAAAGAAAGGGUGGAGGAAGGAAAGGAAGUUGGAUAAGGAAAAAAAAGUAUGGAAGGGAAUAUAUAUAUAUAGUAGAUCUAGGGAGCAGUAGAAUUAGAAAUAGAAGUUUUAAAUGGCAAAGCAAAUUCAUUGAAAACCACAUGCCUUUAUAUAUAUAUAUCAAGGCAUUAUUACUUAGAAAGGGAAAAUAGGCACAACAAGAUACUCAUAGAGAGGAAUAUGAAGGAGGCCUUUGAUAGAGGGUUAAGGUCAUUUAUGAUCAAGGACAAAAGUAGGAAGAUUGUUUAUAAUGUAAGUGGUGAUAUAAAUGGUAAUAUGGCUAAUAAGAAAAUGACAUAACAACAUGUGUGAGCAUGGUUCACCUAACAUCAACCACAUUGCGAUUUUUACGGUCCAUAUCCUUGCCAUUUUGUUGUGGUGUGUAAGGACAUAAGAAUUUGUGAUGAAUAGCAUGAGAUGAGAGAAAAGUAGAAAAAGGAUGAAACUCACCACGCCACUUUGUUUGAAGGGAUUUGGUUUUAGUUUCAAAUUAAGUAUCAACAACACUUCUAAAUUUUAAGAAGGUCAGAUAAAUAACAUUUUUAGUCUUGAGAAGAUAGAGCCAAGUAAAACAAGGAAAAUCAUUAAUAAAUGACAAGAAAUAACACAUUCUAUUCACGACGGGAAUAGGUGUUGGACCUCAUAAAUCAAAGUGAACUAAUUCAAAAGGUUUCAUUAAUUUAGAUUCUAAAAGAACAAAAGGUGAUCUAAGACUUUGGCUAUUUGGCAUGAAGAACAAAAUUUUGAAACUGAUUAUAGUGCUUUUAACACAUCAAAAUAAGUUAAGACACCAUUCGCUAUGUGGGAGGCUAGAUAGCCAAGGUGAUUGUGCCAAAAAUUAUUCUUGUUAGAGGAGAUAAAAAGAGUUGAGGUUAGAGUUGAUGCAAUAGUAAGAGAUUAAGGUGUUGUUGAGAUAAGAGAGAAUGAAAUAGGUUGAACGCGAUUGAGGCCAUGAUCAAGUUGACCUUGAAGAGGGACUUUCUUUAUGACUUCUUUAACAAGGAAAUAAUUAGGAUAAAAUUCAACAAAUACUCUAUUAUCAUAAUAGAGUUUGGUAACACUAAGUAAGUUGUUAGAGAGAGUAAGAGUAUGAAAAAUGUGUUUCAAUGUGAAUGGGGAGCUAAAGAAAGGCAAUAGGACAUUACCAACAUGAGAUAUGAAAAUUUUCUCACCAAUACCAACCAUCACUUGGUCUUUGCAUUGGAACAAUAUUGGAUUCUAUAGCAUAGUAAGAUUAGGAGUGAAAUGGUGGGUUACUCCUAAGUUCAUGUACCAAGGACCAAUUCUAGCAUAAUAUGUCGAAUGUUGAGAAGAUGCCACAAUGUUGAGGGCUUGUUGAGAUGGUGUUGGGUCAUGGUAAGGGGUGUUAUCAUGGUAUUAAGGUUUUUAGGUAGCAUGUGAGGUUGAUAAUUGAGGUUGGCACAAUGGUAGCACACCAGGGUAAUAUGUCCAAUCUUCCUACAAAUUUGGCAUUAUAGUUUGGCGCCAUUGCCUUGAAAAUUUUCUUUUGGCUUUUGUUGAAUGUUGACCAUGAAAUGGAGGUACUUGAGGCUUACCUAGAAUGUCAUGUUGUGAGUUUAUGUGGACUAAAGGAAGAAUGAGAUUGGUUGUUGUGCAAAAAUGGAGACUAAGGAAAAGACUUAUUAUGGUAAGAUUGAAGGAUGGGAGGCUUAUGAAAUUCCUAUUAUGAUUAAAUGUUACAACAUUUGCCUACAAGGGAAUGUGUUGAGUUGUAGAACGUGGUUACUCCAAACGAAACUCAUAAUUCAAGAACAAACUAUGCACUUCUUCUAUGGUGGCUAGACAAGUAUGAUGAUCUAUAGUUGAUGGAUGUAACAAAAGCAUAAUAUUCUUAGACCGCCAACCAUAUGGAUCAAUCAAAUGAUCAUUUUGUGAAACAAGCUCACCAAUGGCUACCAAACUAUUGCAUAGUCCUAAUUUAAGCUUUAGGAUAUAAUCCAUACUAGAUAUUCCAUUUUUAGAUGUGUGCAAUUAAGUUUUUAGUUCUAUCAAUCUUGUCAUCAAAAUAGUCGAGUAAAUCUAGCCCAAUGCACAUCAGAUCUCAAGUAUAGUAGUGUAUCCUAUAAUUUGGGAUAUAACUCGCUUCGUCAAUAAAGUAUAGAAUUAGUUCAUAAUCAAAUGAUUAUAUUUAUGCCACAUAGUAUAUUUUGAAUUGAGAGUGAGUUGUUAAAAAUUUAGACUUUUUUGAGGUGAAUGAUGCGCUAAUUUUAAACCGAGAACAUUAAAGUGAAAUUUCUUAAAUAACUUCGAAAUAUGAUUCCAACCAGUUUUGAAUUUUUAUUUUAAAAAGAUAAAAUUAAAUUAAGUUUAAAUAUAUUUUAUUUUUUAUUAUUGCAAAGUCACAUAUAAAAAUAAAUUAUUAAAUUUAAAUUCAUUUUAAGUUUUUUAAUUUUUUUUUCCUUUUUAAGUUUUUCGUAACCACACUCAGCCUUGCAAAAUAUUGAGAUGGUUGAAAAUGAAAUUUGGAAGUAAAGAGGAUCAUUCAAUUCUAUUCCAGAAAUAGGCUGAAAACCGGUGAAAGAGCCGUUAUAAAACCUUCACGGUAGCCUGAAAUUCCGUUAGUGUGACGUGGCGCUCCCACGUAGCCUGUCAGAACUACAAUAUCAUCGCUUCUUGUCGGCCGGCCGCUUUAAAUCACAGUAGGGGACACAAACUCCCUGUGCAAACCCAAAUCGUCGUCUCUGUCUCUAUAAUGGUGAGAGGUUCGUCGCAGUCUCAGGCCUCAUCGUCCGUUACCUCCCGUCCGUCCACCGUCGGCAUGGCGCCGCGCGGCUCUGCUGCAGCUACCGCUGGCAUGCGUCGCCGCCGCCUCGGAACGGGGAGCGCUGGUGGUGGCUCCGGCGGGUUCGGCAGUGGCAGUAGCGGAAGCAACAUGCUCCGGUUCUACACCGAUGACGCUCCGGGCUUGAAGAUUACUCCGACGGUGGUUCUCGUGAUGAGCCUUUGCUUUAUCGGCUUCGUCACCGCUCUUCAUGUCUUCGGUAAGAUCUAUCGCCAUAGAUCUGGUGGAGUGGCUUGAUCAAGGAUCUCUUCAACAUCUUCUCUAACACUGUGACACGUCUUAGUGUUUUGAUUCUGUUCUCCUACCGUGGUCUAUAGGCUUGUAUUGAUUUUUGCGCCUCUAGUGUUUCUCAUUUCUCCAAAUCGCACUGUAUGGAAAAUUUUGGAAGGUUUUAUGAUCGAUUACGUUUCGGAUGUCAAAGCGGAAAAUUGCUCCAAUUUCGGGUUCUGCAUUCUACAAUACUUGGAUAUAUCAUUCUUGAAUCAGAAACUCAUGACUGGUUUUUUGGUUUUGCACACAUGGCCUCCGUCAGAUGGAUAGCUAGAGUACAAUUUAGGAAUAACAUGCACCUCCCUGCUAAAUUGUUGGGAGAUUUGUUCAAUAAACUCAUUAGAAAUCUAAGAUAAAGCUUCUCUUCAGCCAGUUAUGUAGUGGAAUCUCGUUAAUAGCUUAAACCAUAGCAAUUAAUUUGCUAUAAACAUAUAUGCAAUUUGGCAGACACAUAUGUACACAACAUAGAAGCAAUUUAAUAAACAUAUGCAGCGGCACAUAUAUAUAUAUGCUUCGUUGUUUGAUUUUUGAAUUGCCAAGGCUCUGCCAUAGUUUUUGCCUACAAAUGAAACUUUUUUUUCCCCUGUUGCUGACAUUGUUUGAAAACUAAAAUUCUCCUGCAAGUGAUCAUCUUGGUUUUUUGGGUGCCAAUCUAUCUUUGGUGUUUUUGGGUGGGGAGGAGUCAUCAUGCUGUUAGUACUUGAGACCACAAGUGAGAGUGUUCUCUCCUUAUUCUUCCUCUUCAUUAGCUCAUGGAGCUGCCAUAACUUAGAAAACAAAGCAACAAAGCUUUAGGAGGAAACAAAAUGACAUAAGCAUGGAGUGAAAGAUUUGUAAUCCCUACACUUUAUGCUGCUAUUUGUUUUUUCCCCCCGUCUUUUCUUAUUGAGUGUUCGCUGAGGUACUUUUCAAGUAAUGGGCUCCAUCCUGUUGGACCUUUGCGCACAGGUCGGUGGAUAAUACAAACCCUCUUUCUCAUGAUUGUUCUUUGGAUUUACCCGAGCUGUUCCUUUCGUUAUGAAUUUUAACCCACUUAACUAUUGUGAAUAGCAUAUACACUUCUGCUGUUUUUUUAUUUCCCACAUCAUUUAUCAUAGAAAAAAAAUAUGAGAAAAAUAGUGGUGUGAAAUGUGGGCAUAGCAAUGGGUUUUGCAGUCUACAUUGAUUCAAAGUAGUUUUAGUGGGAACAAGAUGAAAUGUUAAAUUUUGGAAGCAUAUGUGGUGUAAAGAUGUCCUAUUUUUCAUUAGAUUUUUCCCCUUGCAGUUAAUUUGGAUGCUGGAUGGAUAGUUGAAAUUUGCUUAGGGAAUCCUUUAUGAAUAUAUGUGUGGCAUUUGUUUCUCAUGGAUACUGAGCAAUAAAUUGAAGUUUUGACAGAUGAGCAGUGGUUCUGCUGGCAGCUCAGUUGAUGGAACAGGUCUUGAAUGCUAUGGGGUAUCUUCUAAGUUAUUUGGUAUUAUGAAUAACCAUGCAUCUUACACGGAUUAUAUUAAUUGAAUGAACUUGAGAUACAAAUUGACAACUUGAAAAAGAGAUCUACGGGAUAUUUUGAAAAGAUUUGUUGCUCUUCAGAGUGGUUGAUUUCUAGGACCAGAACAAUCUCAUACAGGUGCACAUCAUCUCUGCAUUCAUUAUUAGACCCCCCACUCCCUUCCUCCCUCUCUAAUAUGUCUUUAGAAAAAUCAUAAAUGUGUCUUUAGAAAGAUGAUAAAUGUUGGAUAUCAUAUACUGUGUAGAAAGAUAAUCAGGCUCUCUCCCUCAGACCAAUGUCCUCAAACAUUCCUGUUAUUCCUGUUCCAGCACCUUUGACUAUCAUCAUCUGGCAUUUUACAUCCCACUGUUGCCAUUAAUUGCAUUUCCCUGUUUCCCCAAGUUGGGUUGCUAGAUUUCCUAAUUCUCUUAGUCUUUGACAUUUGCCUUCCUUAAUCAUUCUACUCAUCUAUGAUUAUUUCAUCUCAAUUUUCAUGACCAUGUUUCUUGGUUGUCCAACAUCCCACCUUGAAAACAGUGCUACUUUCAGCUCCCCAGUUAAAUUUUCUAGUGCCUUAUCUAUCUGGAAAGCACACAUUCUUUUGCCACUAAGCAUUAAACUAUGGUCAAUUUUUUCUCUAGUGCCUCUCAGGCAUCAAUCUUUCCCAUCUUCCCACCUUGAUGUUGGGUCUUGCUUUCAAAAAAGUUACUGCUGUUCUGUUACUUGAGGCAAGACUAUGACUACUGUAAUUUUUUUCUUUAGUUUUAAUUUAAUGCAGGGUGGUCUCAAGCUAGUAUGCUUUAUUCUCUGCCUUUUCUAUUCCUGAUAAUGAUAAUCCUUCUGUGUAUAUCUUUUUCUGGCUGUGCUCCACUUUCUUGUGGCUUUCAUUCCACACUGAGUAAUAAUUCAUUUUUUAAACGUUAAUCAAGCUGCUGAGCUUGCUUAGGGGCUUGGGCCACAAAGUUUGAUGAAGAAAUGAUUUGAUGUGUGGUUUCCCUUCGAGAUUCCAUAAUUAUCUUUUUGAUAUUUAUUGUCAUGGAAAUAUCAGCAGCUUCUUAAGAUUUAAUGUGACAUCCUACAUCGGGUAGUGGGAAAGUUUCUGGCGUUAUAUAAGUAUGAACUUGUUUUAGCCCUGUAGAUGUGUUUUAAAANNNNNNNNNNNNNNNNNNNNNNNNNNNNNNNNNNNNNNNNNNNNNNNNNNNNNNNNNNNNNNNNNNNNNNNNNNNNNNNNNNNNNNNNNNNNNNNNNNNNAUAUAAGUAUGAACUUGUUUUAGCCCUGUAGAUGUGUUUUAAAACCGUGAGGGCCUCUUUGAGUUCAAAAUAGACAAUAUCUACACUAUUAGGAGCAGGUCAUUAUAAAUGGUAUUAGAGCCGAUCUCCGACUUCUGUGGGGGUUUGUUUGGCCUCGUAAGGAUGUUUGUCUAUUUGGUCCUACAAUCUCGUGGGACUGCAUGGGGGUGUUUAUGACAUCUCAUAUUGGAUAGGGAGAUCUCUUAACCCUGUAGACGACUUUUAAAGUCGUGAGGAUCCUUUUGGGUCCAAAAUGGACAAUAUCUACACGGUUGGGAGCGGAGUCGUUACAUUUACAGUUUUUGAUUGAAGGUAUUCCUUGAUGCGAGUGAGGGCAAUAAAGAAGUGGCUCCAAAGUGGAUACCCCCACACGGAUUUGUAUUAUUGUAUAGACUAAGAUAAUGAAUAUUUAUUUACAUAAUAUUUAGAUAUUCAAUGAAUACAAUCUGGAAAACAAGGGAAUUUUGUUGACUAGGCACUUGAUUCAUCCACCAUAGUAGUGGACUCGUUACUUUAAUUUCGAUUAUUGCAGGGGCCCAGUUUGAACUGCGAUGCAGAGAGGCUGAAAGGGUUCUUAUCACUUAUCGGUUAUCACCCACCCACCAUCAAUCUUGAUUAAGAAACCUUACCUGCAAGAGCUUUCCAAACUCCAAUCAAGUAAGGAAAGGUUUUUGCCCAUCAUCACCACCUUACCCAUGGGACAGUAUCAUUGGGAAUGAGUGGAAACACGCGUUGUAGAGGCUUUGGGUUGGCAAUUGACAUGGAGGGAAUCUGGUGGUGGCGGUUAUAACAAACCAUGGUGGGGUUUAGUUUCAAACCUUUAAUUUACUCCUACCUGUUGUUGAAUCAUGAUUAAAAUCUUGUGUUAUACGAGUGCUUAGGAAACAUUUGACACAAAUACAGAUGGUUGCUGAUUCCACCUCUUGUACUAAAAGAAAUUAAAGAAACAUUAAGAAGGUGAUGAAAAUUUCAAAUUAUUUUAUAAUAUUUUUAAAAAAAUUUAUUUUGGUAAAAAAUAAAUUAAAUUAUUUUAAUUAUAGGUGUAGGAAACGGGCAACUGGAUAAUGGGUGAUGAUCAUUAAAACUUGCUUAGAUAACAUUAUCUCAAAUUCAUUCGCUGUCGACAGUGACUGCUCAGAAUCACUUUAUUAUUUAUUUAUUUAUUUAUAUGUUAGGAGGAUAGUUUGGUAAUUAAAACCGAUGCCCAUCUACGAAGUCUCUCGUUCAACAAACCUCCGCUGUCGAGAGUCGAGAGAGAAUAAAAAUAAAGAAUAAGCAGAGAGAGAGGAGAAACAGAUAGGAGUUACAGGAUUUGUGAAUUUGCUUUUCAAAAACACUUUAUCAAAACGUUUCCUACUUUUCGCUUCUCGGAUUUUGUUUCGUUUCCGCAAAAUCACGCUGAGAUCAGUUCAUCGCUUAAUCCAUUUUGAUUGCUUGAUCGUUCUUUUGAUCCAACGGAUUCAAUCUUCAUCUUGUGAAAACCAUGGAGGUCCGGCCCAAUCCGGUGGAUGACAACUCCUCAAUUCCGCAGCAGCAUCAGCACCAUGCGCACGCAGCUCCAUCCAAGCAGCUCAAAGCUGCGCCUAACCCCGUCGACACCAGUUCCGUUUCUCAGAGGUCCAUUUCGUAUUCAUUCUCCCCUUUUCUUCUACUUUCUGUUUGGUUGUCGAGAAAGUUAAGGGAAGUCCAAGAUUUUGAAUCUGAUGCUUUAUAUUUUGGUUUUACCACUUUCUUUUUCUUGAAUUUUCUAUUCGGUUGUGGAGAAAACUGGGGGUCAAUAGAAGAAAGAGGAAAAGGACGGAAAUUUUGAAUAUGAUGUUUUGUAUUCCUUUCUCGGAUUUUUCUUUUUCUUUCCUUUUCUUUUUCUUUUUAUUUCAGUUGCGGAAAAGGUAGAGAAGAAAAUUUUGGAUGAGCGCGUUUUACUUUAUGUCAAUUUUCGGGAAAGUGAACGACUAUCUAAGUUUAUUAGCUGGGCCAAAUAGUUGGAUUAGGGUUAGGGUGGUUUUUAGUUUUCUUGGGAUCAAAAAUGAGAAUUCUGGGACUGGUAUUUGAGUUUUUUGUCUUUUCUUUCGUCCACUUUCUGAGCGACCAAACAGAAAGUUUAGUACCUGUUUGGAACCAAAUCUUUGAGAAAAAGGAUUGACUUAAUGAUUAUGAAGACAAGGAAAGGAAUUUCCAUCGCAAAAAAUUGGAACAUGAACGCAUGUUUUAUUGGACACUUUUGGCCCUUACUAUUGAAAAGCUAAGUGCUAAAAUCAACCUCCAAAUUCCACCAUCUCUGGGUGGAAUUUAAAAAUGUAUGCAAAAUUCAUCUUAAUCCCCUUCUAAUUAAUUUCAAUUCAAAAAGCAUUGGUUCCAGAAUUAAAAUUUUUUUAAGCCAAUUCUUUACCUUCUCCUCAAGUCCCACACUCCAAGGUUUGUUCGGUUAAUUUCUAUGUUAUCUGGUCAUGUUUUAUGUCCUUUUCAUGGCCUGUUCUUAUGUUAUCUAUUUUUAAUUUCAGGCUUCAAAAAGAGUUGAUGGCCCUCAUGGUAUAUUCAUCUUUUCCUUUUUUCUUUCUCCUUUACCAUAUUUGAUUUCUUAUAUAGUAUUCUAUUUCUUAUUCGAAUCUGGUUCUUGUUGAUUUCUGGUAUUGCAUUGAUCUUGAUAUCAAGGAUCUUUCUUUUCAAAUUUCUUGUCCUUGAGUUCUUUGAUGUUUAAGCUAGUGAUGUUGGUUUAGGUAAUUCUAUAUAUUUUGGUGUCAUGGGCUAGUCAUUUUUGUUGUACUGUCUUUUCUGGGUGUCAAUGUAGUGAAUUGGUUGAGAUAAAGAUAGAAAAGAUGAUAAAAAAAUGGCUCCUAAGUAAUGUUUCCCCAACUGUAGAUGAUUUCACCUUUUUUCCUCUCAAAAAAAGCGAUGUUCAUUUAUGCAAUUGGCUAUUUCAUUGUAUUUGGUGAAUAGUGUAACUUAUUGGAAACUCUUAAAAUAAAAGUAGAUAGCUAAAAAAAAAACUUAAUCCUUCUGGUUAUGUGAUUUUUUUAGGUCUUAGAUCCUUACUUUCAUACAUAUAUACAUAUAUAUAUUUAUAUAUUGGGGAAAUGCUUUUCAUUCAAGUGAUGUCUUCCCUGCUUAGUAGCCAUCUUCUGUAUGUGCUUUUGUUCUCUUUGUCUUUUGUUGUAGUCAGGUUUUAGUGAUGGUCACACUUCAAAUAUAGGCAGGUUUCAGGCAAAUCUUAAUGAGCAAAACAUUUUAAAAAUCUUUGUGGAACUAAGUGGAGUUUUGAACUAACUGAUGUUGAAUAAUUAGUUGAUAAGCUGUGGUUUGGUGCAAAAUGUCACUGGAACCUGUGGUUUUCUUGUUCUCCUCAAAAUACAUUGAGAGUGGUUGACAAGACAUUUAGGGGUAAAGCAUUGUGUGGGUUGUGAAAGCUGCAUUGGACUCAGGCUAACCAUGAAUACUAGUUUUAGCCUGAAAAUAAUAGGGUUAAAUGAUUGUCUGGCCAUGUGUUGAGGUUGUUGGCCAUGGGUGGGACUAGGGAGGACUAGGGAGAGUGGGAGUGGAAGAAAACUUCAAAGGAACUUUUCUAAAAUAUUCAAUAAUUUAUUGUCAAAAUAUAUUUAGUGUCAGAAGUUUUCGUCAAGGAGACAAAAACUUGAGAGCCUGAUUGGCUGUGUUUUCAAUAAUAGUUAUCAAAAAACAGUUUUAAGAAUAGUUCAUAAAAACAAUUCUCAAUUGUUUUCAUGAACAAAAUUUUGUUGGGGAACACAAAUAGGAAAAACUAUUUUCUUAGCUUAUUUGCCUUCAAGGUACUAUGUAUUUAUGCACAAUUUUAAGAGUUCUAAAUUAUUCUCCAUAUUUUCAAUUAUUUCUCAGACAACUCUAAAAAACACUUGAAAACUCCUUAACUUUGUUUAAAAAACAUAUUUUUCAGAACAAAUUGUCAAGCAAAUCUCAAACAACUUUUAAAAAAAUAUGUAUCUCUUCUUUCUCUUGUAUCUUUUCUUCUAUUAAUAUAUUUUUCUUCGUUUCUGAUAAAAAAAAAAAAAACCAAUUGUUUUAAUAAAAAGUUUACUAAAUGGUUUUUUAAGUUAGAGAACUUUUUUUUGUUCUAAAGACCAUGAAACUGUUUUACAGAGUUCCUAAACAAGCCCUAAAAUGUUCAACUUGUGUUCAGAUUUUUUGUUAAGCUCAAUGAUGCUCAUGCAUUUACUUGAUUUCAUUUACCAGUUUUGACUGAUCCCUCACCAAUAGCUGAGCUGAUGAGGCCAGAUGGGGCAUGACCUGUGACAGAAAUUUCAUUUUGAGGUAGGGGUGGGGUGUGGGUGUUAUUCUUGAGUAAGAACCAAUUAGGCACAGCAAAACUGUCUACCCUUGAAGGGUGGAUUGUGGAGUUUAGAGGUCAGGCUCGUAUUACCAUUCAGAGUUCAAUAAUUUGGUAAACGCAUAAUUCCCAACUUUUAGAGCCGUCUCCACUUAUGGAACAACAUACUAGAAAACUUUGUAAUGAAGAGGACAAUAUUUACCCAAAUGCUAUGGAGGUUAAGUUUGGGAGAGGGAAAUGUAUCCAAACGGAGUUAUUUGUUGAUGAUGUGAACCUCUUGAAACUUGAAAGAUUGUUCUUCUCAUCCUUCUCAUGAUUUUUUUACAGUAAUUAAUAAAUCUUCUGUUUCUGAUAUAUAUAUAUAUAUAUAUAUAUAAAACACCAGGCUGUGCAAGAGGGUAUACAUUUUUGAGCCUUUUUUCGUGAUGAUAACUUAUACCAAUAAUGAGAAAAGGCUCUCUUUUCCAUGAAGAUGUAUCAUGAUUUGAAAUUCUUCUCAUUGUCAAAACUCAAAUUUAAGUAAAUGAUACAUGGGGGACCUCAUACAGGGUAGAGUCUGGACUGUGACUUUAAUAAACAUUUCAAUGAAUAGGUUCAAUUUUCUAGAGUGACAGUAUAAAAUUCUAGGAAGAAGCUGUGAUGCUGCGAACCCUCCAUAACUAGAACUGGAGGUGACAUUGAAGAAGUGCUCUAUUGUUGCACGCGCCAUUUAUAAACUUCAAUAGCUGCAACUUAAGUGGGAGGUUCAUAGGAGCUUCUAAAAGAAACAUCAAUGCUAUGAUGUUAUUCAUUCCAUGUUCUCUUGUUCUUUUCUUCCUCCCCUCCCCUUCCCCCAACCCUCUCUCUCUCUCUCUCUCUCUCUCUCCCCUUUAUUUAUUUAUUUAUUUACAUUUUCUUAAAUGAAACUAGUAAUAAAAUCUUUUGUUUAGGGUAGUAUUGCAAACAUUGGUAUGGGAAUUGUAAUUGUGGGGAGGAUUCCUCAUCCUUGUUAUGUUUUCUUUAACAUUAAUAUAUACAUCUCUUGUUUCUGAUAAAAAUAAAAUAAAAAACACUAGUAUGGAAUGGCUUUAAUUAUUUUGUUUAGAAACAUGUGUCAUGUUCAGUGUCAAGUUAAACAUCACAAUUGUUAAAAGGAAGUUUUUUGAGGAUGUUUGCAGUAGCUCUAAGAGUCUAGGGACUAGAUCUUCUAUUUUGGCUGUAGCUCUGGCCUGUAAAAAUACUUGGAUUCAUGGUGCAUUGAGAGUCUUGCUUUGAUCCCAGCUAUUAAAUAAGAGUCUUGUUGUCACCUAUUCAAUAAGAAACUGAGAAAUUGUUUGUAGAAUUUUCUUUCUUCCUAAAAAUCGUUAAAUUCUUUACAAUUUUCUGUGCCUAUCAAUAAAAGUGAACAAAAAACAUGUAACAAUUUUCUUCAUUUGUUUAUUAAGAUCUAAUAUUUGUCUGUUUGCACAGAUGAGUGGAGGAGAUCUUGGGGUAUCUGCUUUCCCUGAAAGCGAGAGCAUUUUUACCUGGAUUGGCACAAUCAUGGGUGGAAAUGGAACUGUGUAUGAGGGUUUAUCUUAUAAACUUUCAUUACGUUUCCCCCUUGACUACCCUUUCAAGCCACCCCAAGUUAAGUUUGAAACAAUGUGCUUCCAUCCAAAUAUUGAUCAGUUUGGCAACAUUUGUCUUGACAUCCUUCAGGUAUAACUCAACUUGCUAGAAGUUUUUGAAUUGCAAAUUUCUGGUGACUAACAAUCUAAUGGUCCUAUAUUUAUGAUAACCUCUGCUUUGAAAAUUGAAUUAAUUGGAUGAGUCAUGAAAGUAGCUAUUCAGCUGCAGAUCACUGGGAUAUAAUAGUUGGGAGUAAAGAUGGAUCCUUUUAAUCCUUUUUCCUUUGAGAUUGAAGUCAGUCCUUAUCCAAGUUUGAUGUUUAAAAUCUUUAAAUUCGAAAUGACCCUUGAAUUCUAGAAUUUUAUUGAAGUUUAAAACCUUUGAAGUGAUGAUUUUCUUUAUUUUCAUGUCUAAAAUUUUCUCACGGAACUGAUGCAACCCUCUAUAUUUUGGUAUAGGACAAGUGGUCUUCUGCCUAUGAUUGCAAAACCGUUCUUUUAUCCAUUCAAAGUCUAUUGGGAGGUAUGCCAACUUUCCCAUACAUGUUUUAGCUUUUUGUCCUUUUUUUCUUGUUCGUUGUUAUCACUGUGCCUUGCUGUUUGUUUCUGACAUACAGAGCCCAACAUAGAGAGUCCUCUCAACAGCUAUGCUGCAUCAUUAUGGAACAACCAAGAAGGUUGGGUUCAUUUUUUUUAUCUUCAUCUUUCUCCCAUCCAUUUUAUCUUUCUUCUUUGUAGAAUUUUAAUGAAUGUUAAACCUCGGGCUUCUAUAUUUUAGAAUUAUUUAUGCUAGGUUUUGUUGAAGACUGAACAAAUCAUUGAAUGCAGGGCUCAGAGCUAGAUGAUUUGUAUAUACUAUUGUUUUAUUCCAGUCAACUGAAGAGAGCCAUUUGGGUUUUGCAGAUUACAGAAAGAUGGUCCACAAGCAAUAUUUUGCAGGAGAAGCAUUUGAGAGCUAAGUGCUGAACCUCAAAUUAAAAGAACCAUUUGAGGGCUGAUGUAGAUUUCUCAUCAAAGAUGCCAAAAUGGAAUUUAUGUUAUCACACGGUUUCGUAUAUCUGUAAAGCUCUUUCAAAAGUGUUGGGAACUUUAAAAUAUAGUUUUGUUCCUCCAUGAAUAUGGGAACAGACUUUUUCAAUCUGAUCGCCCAAAAACCUGGGGAAGUUACAUCUCUCUCUUCGAUAAAAUAAUUUGACCAUCAUCUGUUGUAAAUUUGUUUCAAUUGAAGUUGGCUUCUCAUAUGUGACCUGCACUGAUGAUAAAUAUUGGCAUUCUGUAUAUUUCCUCCCGAUUUUGGAUGUUUUUCCUGUAAAUUAUUAAAAUACGCUUGAUUGCACUGCCUUCCCAUGAAUAUGAGCAAGUUCAGGUGACCCCACACCCCCCCUCCCUCCCUCUCCAAAUAAAUAAUUGAUUGGCAUUGAAAGUAUAUACCACUAAGUGGCAUUGUGAUAUUUUGAAGUUAAUUUAGGGAUGAAAGUUUGUCAAAAUAAGUAGUGAAACCUUAAUGGCGUAGUACGACCAGCUGGAAGCGGAAUUCAGAGUGUUCCUACAGGGAUUGGUCAUUCGUGAACCUUCCUUUCUUUAUGAGAUGAGGCCAAAAUAAUAAAGGCAGGCUUCCCCAGUCAACAUAGAGAAGGACAGCCGACAGAAGCAAUCAUAUCAUUUCCAUCAAUUAUGGAAGUUAUAUGGACUAAAUGUUAAUUUUUGGGCUCAGCUGUGUCCAAAACACAAUUCUCCCAUAACAUAGAGGACAGUCGACAGAAGCAAUCAUUCAUCUGAGGAACCUUCCUUCACUGUUGGUGUCCCAUAUUCAAACAAAUUAAUAGCUAUAUGCUUUUCACGCGUAAGUCGUGGAUUUGAUCCCUUCGGUUUUUUAACCUUUGAAAGAGGACCCUCACUGUGGGUGCACUGCUUUUUCAACUCUUCAAGCUAAUUCCUAAUUAGUCCUACGACUGACUCUUGAAUCCAUAUGUUUUUUGUCGGCUGCAUUUCCUUUGCAGCAGACGAGAGGAUAUCACUUGUCUCAGCCAUGGACUCUCCAUGCUCUUACCUAGAUUUGCUAUUUUUAUAUUUUAUUUCGUCGUUUGGCUUGGUGGUGGGUUAGAAGAAUGGAGGCAUUUUCUUUUUUUUGUUUGGGUAAGAACAGAACCGGAGUGGAGACGCAAUAACUAAAUGAUGACAAUGAAGGAAUUUCCAGCUAUGCAAUAACCUCUCAUAUUUGCUCCAACCACCCUACUAGGGGAGAAAGCAAGCAUAGGAAAUGCAUUCAAGAUCGUUCGUGACAUUUCCUUCAAGAAGCAGGGUAUUAAAUUUUGGAUCCCUGAUAUUUAUAUUCCCUUUUUUCAGACUAUUAUCCACAACUGUUCAAAAGCCUAAUAUGUAUUGAAUAGAAACAAUGAAAGAAAAAAUGGAUUGAGAUCAUCAAACCAUGUUUUUCCUAAGAUAUGUCCAGUAUUUUCCUAAUUGAGAAACAAGUCUCCCAUAUGUACAUUAACAAUUGAGUUAAGAAAUCCCAUGGAGAUUAAAUAUGAAUCAUUCCUCCUUCAAACCAUCUGCAAGAGCUGGUGCUUUGCAAAUGGCGCAGAAAUUCUUCAGUGACAACCAUUUCCUGAUGCAGCCCACAUGGUAAUCAUGACCACAGUUCUUCAUUCUCCCUACUUCUUCCUUGCUUUUGUAUUCCUCCUGUCAUUGCAAAGCAACAGUUAUGAGACAGGCUUCCUAAAAGCUAAAAAGAAAUAAUGCAACAUUCGUGAGAGCAUGAUCCAACACCUCCCAAGUUCUAUUUACCUCUUGAGUUCCACUGUUCAAGUUCAUGCCCUACAGGUUAUCAUAUGGAACUCCAAACAGGUCCAUAAAAUCUAAAUGAUUUUUAGUUGUGAAAAUUUUGAACCCAAAUAAACAGCCUUCUGCUGGUUCAACAAAUAUUUUAAAUGAGGCGGCUCUUAAGUAUGAAAUUAGGACCCAAUAUCUUACUGAACCCACAUAAGACUAGAACUGCUUAUCCAAUCCAACCAGCAAAAGGACAUCGGAUCUACGAGUUUCUUAAGCAACACCUUUCUCAAAUCAAAGCUGUUAUAUAAUGUUUAAGAGCACUGGAGGAAAUAUUCAGAUUGGGACAUUCAAAAUCAUGGACCAUGAUGAUUUUAAUCAUAAUCUUCUAUAUGAAGCUAUCCAGACGUGGGUGUUUCACCAUUUAACUUGUAUGGUUGCUACCAAUGUUUUGGGUCUAAAAUGAAAGUCAAUCCCUGUCUAAUUGAAAUAGGUAAGGUGCAACAGUUCUUACAAGGCAUAUUGUGCACAUUGCUUCCUCCUGGUUUUGAUCUGAUGAAUGGUAUGUUGUUUUUGUCAAACACUUUGAGACCAUAUCUUCAGACAAGCCUGUGCUGACAUUUCCAAUGCUUUCUCCUAGAGCAAGAAGUUCCUGCCCCAAAUGCAGUACUUUAAAAUUAAAGGGAGCUAGAAACAAUAAGAAUGGAAGUAAAGGGAUCAAUGUGAACAUAGUAACCUCAUAACUCAUGUCAUCAAUGUCCAGCCUCAUGUCCCCAUACUGAUCAAACAAAUUUCUGGAACCAUACAAGGAUGAGCUGUCCACCAUUAUGACAGCCUGCAUGGAAAUAACAGAUAUAUGCGACAUAUAAUUAACAAAAUGAAAACUGCUAUACAUCCACUUUGCAGUAGUACUAUAAUCAAGGAGAAUCCAGAAUCUAAAUUGCAUAGACUGGGGUGCUUCACCAAGUGUUCUGUAUGUCUAGAGGAAGACAUCAGAUACAACUGGCUAAGGCUCAACCCCACAAGUUACUGCCAAUGAGAAGGGUCAGAAGACAUAAAAAAUGAAGUGCAUAAAUGAGUUCAGGGAACUCAGAGGACCAUGAUGUGCUUGGAUCAAAUAUAUGGUGAAAGCCCAGGCUCCAUUUUGAUGUCAGAAACUAGGAAGAAAAGGAUACAGAAAAGAAAAAGAGUGAAGAAAGAAAAAAUGAAGGAAAAUGAAGAGUAAGUUUGAACUCAAUAAAAUUUUUCUUCAUUCUUUGUCCUACUUUAUUCACUUUUUGAAUAGAGAUUAAGAGUAAAAAUGUACAAGCUUUCAAAUAAUUUAUAAUAUAUUUCAUUUUCCUUAAUAAUUUUCAAUUUUCAUAGCAACCAGAUAAGAGAAACCGAGAUUCCUCCUGUCUUUUCCUUCCCAUCCUAGUCGUGUUGAAGGUCCAGACUAAGCAUAGAGUUUAGGAAUGAAUAUAACCAACUCAUUAUUCUAGUUUCUAAGAAAAAAAUCUGAGUUCUUUUCAUUAAUAUAACCAACUCAUUCACGAUCUGAAAAUAAAGAGAUCUAUCAUAUCCCCCUAAAGUGUAUAUUGUAUAUGAUUUUAUGGUUUCCAUCACUGCAAAUACAAUCACCUAAAUUUAAGAUCAUAAGCAACUCCCCAUUGGCAAAGGGUAUUCAUCAAGUGGGGAAAAUCAGCAGAAAUAUUAAGUUCCCACUCUUGCAAGAAUGGACUAAACAGGGUCCAGUACCUAGCUAACAUUCAUAAUUAAAUACUGUUACUAUAUAGGUAGAGCUCAUUGUAAAAUACCUAUUAUUCUAUAAUUCAUGGGUAGAGCCAAAGAGUUCAUUACAAGUUGUAAAUAACAUUUAUUAAAUGAAGAAAGGAGCUCCAGCGUGUAGAAAGAACCUCACUGUUUAAGGAGUAACCAUAGAAACGAUCCACAUUCAGAAUAGAGCAUAUUUAAUCCAAUUAAAUUAAAGAGUAAUUUAUUGAAUUAUUAAGUGAUUACUACUCAAAAUGUGCUAUUUUAUAGCUUGUAAUUAACUCUUUUAAACACUUUUGACUAGUAGUUAUUACCUUUUAACUUAAUUGGCAUGUUAAGGACCCUUGCAAUCGUUUCUAAUAAAAUUGUGUUAAGUUUUGGUGUUUUUCAUAGCUUUUUUAUCACCAAAGCAAUCCAAGAAUGAGGGAGAUCUUUGUAUAGUUCAUGGCAAAGCAAGUUGAAGCUCAAAUUCAUGAAGAAACUAAGCUUUGGAGCUUCAUAACCCUUUGCCAAAGCCAAACGAGGAUGCAAGGAAGAAAAUCACAUAAGAAAUCAACCAUCCAGCAAUUUCGCAAGUUGUGGAAUCCAACUUGCGAAAUUUUCGCAACUUGCGAAAUAGGAAGAGGAAAGGAAUUGCUGCAGGACAGAGAGCUGAUUAGUUGCAGGACAAUUUCGCAACUUGCAAAACCACAAUUUCAACUUGCGAAAUGGACAAUUUCAACUUGCGAAAUUUUCGCAAGUUGCGUUUGAACUUGCGAAAUCCACCUGUAAUCUGAGAUAUUUGCGCACUGACUCCGCUUGAUAUUUAUCUUCAGAUAUUUGUGUGUAAAUCCCUAUUUUCUCCUUGUAACCCACUAAUGACAAGUUUUCUUGGUUGGGAAGUUAGCAGGAGGGGUGAAUAGCUUCUCUAUAUAAUAUCUAUUGUAAUUUUCUUUUAAAAAAAGAUCGCUGGGGAGUUUUUCUCAGAGACGAACUUUUGUAUAGUUUUUCAGAAAGUAAUACACAAAGCUCUGCUCUGCCUUACCUUCUCAUUUUGUUUUCUCUUUUAUUUUUAUUUCUAGCAAAUCAAACUCUGAGGAUGUUUUCCUAGAGGAUGAGUGGCUAGGCUUUUUGUUUCUCGGAGUGAAGGAAGCUAGGUAAGGUUCCGGAUACAAAAGUGAAAGUUUCGUUGUUUCAGUUUUUAAUGAAGAGAAAGUGUGACCCGUUAAUGGUUUUUAUCUUUUUAGUUAACUUAAUAUCCCUUAAAAUCAGCUGGGCCAACACUUGGUAAGGCAAGUGGACUUCGUUCAUUGAGAUCCACUAGUUUAUCUCUUGCGAGCCUCUGGGAGGUGGUUUAUAGGUAGAUUUAUCUAGAAUAGCCAACACUUGGUAAGCUUUUGGACUCCCAGGAGACAUCCAUUAGUUAUCUCUUGCGAGCUUUUGACGGGUAAUCCAAGGUUAAGGAUCACCUUGAAUGGCCAAUACCGGGUGAGAGGUAUGAACCAUUGCAAGAUGAUCCAGUGACAGGGAUUUAGUGUUUGAAACCAUUAAGGGGAAGCAUCUGUACCACACCGGUUCGAGAAAUAACUAUUUGUUAAAUCCCUAAUGCAAAGAAAAGAUCCAAGUGACCAGAAUCUUUCUUUUUGUAUAAGGAACCUGAGCCUAGUGAUCUAAAACUCCAAGAAGCAUUUUUUUUUUAAAGUAAUUUCAGUUACUUUAUUUUUUGUUUCACUUAAAACCAACCUUUCACACAUACUUAUGUUUUCUUUUAAAGCUAAUCUUGAAAAGAAAAAACAUCAAUUCAGUUUUUGAACUAAUAUCAGUUGUAAUUUGAAAACUCAUCCUUGUGGACGAUCCUAGAGCCACUAUGCUAUGCUAACUAAUGCUACCUUAGUAUAUGGUGAAAUAGGUUUAUAAAUUUUGUUGAUUACUCCCAUCUGAGGACUGAAAUCAAAGCACACCAGUUGAUUGAACACCAAUCAACAGGGCAUACACCAGCUGGGCAUGAAUCAUUAAGCACACCAAAAAGGCAAUCCAAGGGUCUCAUGCGAAUCCAUGUCCUAAUAUAGAUCCAAUAUAGGAAAUUACAGAUCUGGGAGAUAUAAAAUCUAAUAGAUAGGUCUUGCUGAUUUAUUACCUAGACUUUAUUUCAGUUCUGAACUAGGACAUGUAUAUUAUAUUCUUUCUUCUGCCUCAUUGACAAAUGGCAGCAAGUGCGCAAAUCAAACACUUCUCAACAUGAUCAUAUUAUCACAUAACAGCUAACACUGAGUUAACUAUCUCAUACUGUUGAAAGAGAGAGAGAGAAAACCUUAAUUCUCAUUCAUAUGAUUAACUUCUUACAAUAGAGAAAUAUAUAUACAAGGCUAGGUUGAACUAACUACAAUAUAUGUGACCUAUAUUAAGAAAGGAAAGAAAGAUUGUACACUAUAAAUACAAUAUAUUCAACGCUCCCCCUCAAGCUAGAGCAUAUAUGUUAUAUGCACCAAGCUUGUUACAAAUGUAUUUAAUCCUAGGACCUCUGAGAGAUUUAGUGAAGAUGGUUGCUAGUUGAUCCAUUGAAUUAAGAAAACUUGUAGCAACACACCCUAAUGCGAUCUUCUCUCUAAUGAAGUGACAAUCAACUUCAAUAUGUUUGGUCCUUUCAUGAAAGACUGGAUUUGAUGCAAUAUGUAAUGCGGCCUGAUUGUCACAUACUAGCUUUAUUUGUUCAUCUUUUCCAAAUCUCAAUUCCUGAAGGAGUUGCCUCAACCGUAUGAGUUCACAUGUUGCCAAAGCCAUAGCUCGAUACUCAGCUUCGGCGCUUGAUCUGACCACUACAUCUUGUUUCUUACUCUUUCAAGAUAUUAAGUUACCUCCAAUAAAAACACAAUACCCUAAGGUGGAACGCCUAUCUGAGGGUGAACCAGCCCAGUUUGCAUUUGUGUAACCAACAAUUUGGGUAUGGCCCCUGUCUUCAUACAACAUACCUUGGCCUGGUGUUCCUUUAAUAUAUCGAAGAAUGCGGAUCACAGCAUCCCAAUGGUUGUCACAUGGUGACUGUAAAAUUGACUAACCACACUCACAGGAAAAGAGAUGUUUGGCCGAGUGAUGGUGAGGUAAUUCAAUUUGCCUACAAGUCGUCGAUAUCUCCCAAGAUCUCUUAGAGGCUCCCCCUGUCCUGGUACAAGUUUGACAUUUGGAUUCAUAGGAGUGUCAACAGGUUUACAUUCUAACAUACCUGUUUCUUCCAAGAUGUCUAAGGCAUACUUCCUUUAUGACAUAACCACACCUGAACUGGAUUGAGCUAUUUCAAGUCCCAGAAAGUACUUGAGUUUGCCCAAGUCUUUGGUUUGAAAGUGGUUGAAAAGGUGUUGCUUUAGUCUUUGGAUACCCUCCUGAUCACUACCUGUAAUGACAAUGUCAUCCACAUAAACUACCAAAUAGAUGUACUGGCUCGAAGAGUUAUGAUGAUAGAAAACUGAAUGAUCUGCUUCACUCCAAAGCAUUCCAAACUCUUGAACAACAAAACUAAAACGUCCAAACCAUGCUCGAGGAGACUGUUUCAAGCCAUAUAGAGAGCGGCGUAACUUGCACACUAAACCAGACUCCCCCUGAGCAACAAAACCAGGUGGUUGCUCCAUAUACACUUCCUCGAGAAGUUCACCAUGAAGGAAAGCAUUCUUAAUAUCCAACUGAUAAAGAGGCCAAUGACACAUAGCUGCCAUGGAGAGAAAUAAGCGAACAGAAGCAAUCUUGGCAACAGGAGAGAAGGUGUCAUCAUAGUCACAACCAUAAAUCUGAGUAUAACCUUUAGCAACCAAGUGGGCCUUAAGGCGAUCAACCUGACCAUCAGGACCAACUUUAACAGUGUAGACCCAACGACAUCCAACUGUAGAUUUAUCAGGAGGUAAAGAAACAAGAUCCCAUGUGCCAUUAGAGUGCAGAGCAGCCAUUUCAUCAACUAUUGCAUGUCGCCACCCAAGAUGAGAAAGUGUCGCACUACUGCUCUUAGGAAGAGAAACAGAGGAUAAAGUAGAGACAAAGGCAGAAUAGGAUGAAGACAAUCGAUGGUGGCUCAAAAAAUUAUAAAUAGGAUGAGGAUUACGAGUAGAUCGAUUACCUUUCCGAAGAGUAAUAGGCAAAUGGUCAGUAGAUGACAGGGUCGAGGUAGGAGAAAUCGGUGGGACAGGAGGUGAGUCAUUAGGUACCUCAGCUGAAGAGAGGGGAGGAGCAACAGCACGAUGUCGACGAUGAUAAACCUGAAGAAGACGAGAGAGCGCAUCUGAAGGGGGGGAUAUAUAGGGAAGUGGCAAUACUUCAGAAAUGGGAAGAGAUUUAGAGGAUGAGAAGAAUGGAGAGUCCUCAAAGAAGGUGACAUUAGCGGAGAGAAAAUAACGAUGAGUGUCAGGGAAUAACAACGAUAGUCCUUCUGAAGUCGAGAGUAUCCUAAGAAGAUGCAUUUCGUAGCCUUGGCAGAGAGCUUGUCCUGUCCAGGUGUGAGAGUAUGAACAAAACAAGUACAACCAAAGACACGAGGAGGAAGAAAAUAAAGAGGUUGGGUAGGAAAAGGAAGGGAAUGAGGGAUUUGGUUAUGUAAUAUAGAUGAGGGCAUACGAUUAAUCAAGUAACAAGCUGUAAGAAGAUCCCCCCAAAAACGAAAAUGAACAUGACUAUGGAGAAGGAGGGUACGAGUUGUCUCAACAAGAUGUCGAUUUUUACGUUUAGCAACCCCAUUUUGUUAAGGAGUAUGAGCACAAGAUGACUGAUGGAGGAUCCCAUGUUGGGACAUAAAAGAAGUAAAGGGUGUAGAAAAAUAUUCUCGAGCAUUGUCACUGCGUAACACUCGAAUAUAAACAUUGAAUUGUGUUUGGAUUUCAGCAUAAAAUUUCUGGAAAAUAGAGAACAACUCAGCUCGAUUUUUCAUUAAAAAUAACCAAGUACAUCUUGAAUAGUCAUCAAUGAAAGUGACAAAAUACUGAAAUCCUAAAGUAGACGCGGUCCGACACGGACCCCAAACAUCAGUGUGGACAAGUUCAAAAUGAGACUUUGCUCGAUUAUUCAAACGCUUUGGGAACGAGACACGAGUAUGUUUUCCAAGCCGACACGACUCACAUGCAAGCGACGACAAAGUGGAAAAACGAGGGACCAUCUUCUGGAAUAUGAAGAGACUAGGAUGACCCAGACGACUGUGAAUGAGAAGAGGAGCAUCAAUGGAAAUGCAAGUUGCAGGAGAUGAAGAUGAUGUGAGGUGAUAGAGGCCGUAAGACUCACGCCCUAUGCCAAUCGUCUUCCCCGUACUCCAGUCCUGCAAGAUCACAGAUUUAUCAGAAAAAGUGAUAGAACAGUUAAGAGUGCGAGUUAUUUUGCUGAUGGAAAUAAGAUUAAAAGGAUACUCAGGGGCAUAAAAGACAGAAUGAUGAGAUACGGAAGGGAGAGGAUGAGCCAAACCAAUACCUUUAGUCAUAGUUUGGGAACCAUUAGCUAAAGUAACAGUAGGUAAGGCAGAGGUAGUAGUAAUAGAGAAGAAAAUGUAUCUAUUACCAGAGAUAUGAUCAGAUGCUCCAGAAUCUGAAAUCCAUGGGCCAAGAGAAGGAGACUAAGUAAAGCAGAUAGAGACAUUACCGGUCUGGGCAACAGAAGCAACAUAAGUUGAUGUGGCUGCCUGAUAUCGGAGAUAGGCAUCAUAAUCACUACCAGCAAGGGUGAUACUCUGAGAUGUGAAGCUCGCAGCGGAGUCAGGUCGAGAUAGCAGAGGAUCAGAUGACUGAGCAAUGUGGGCAGUGCAAGGAGGCCGUCCAUGCAACUGAUAGCAACGAUCUCGAGUGUGACCAAGCUUAUUACAAUAGGUGCACUGAAGACGUUGUCCUCGACCCCGAUUGCCACUACGUCCUCCUCGAGAGUUAGUUUGAGAGGCUAACACAGAUGAAUCUGAAGGACCAUCAAUCGACAAGGUCUGAGUAGAGGAGAGGCGUAAGAGACGAGCGAACACAUCAUCCAAUGAUGGUACUGAUGGACUAGCAAGAAUCUGAUCUCGGACAGACUCAAGAUCUAGACGGAGGCCAAUGAGGGUUAACACCAUAAAGAACUUGUCAAUCUGUAUUUGUUGAGCUUUAGCACUAGUGAAGGACAUCAAAGUUAAGAACUCCUCCUUAAGAGACGCAAUCCGGCCAAUAUAAGUAGACAGAUCCAUGUCCUGCUGUCUCACAUGAACAAUAUAAAAAACCACCUUAUAAAAUCGUUGAAUAUCAUUCGUGUAUAAUCCUUUAGCCUGAGUCCAAAAUUUAAAGCAGGUUUUGUAGACACGAAGAUGAUGUAAAAUUUUGGGAUCAACAGAUUGUCAUAAUACGCUGCAUAAUUGUGCAUCGAUUUUCUUCCAUUGGACUUUGUCAACAUCAGGUAUAGCAUCCUCAGGUGUAACAAGAUGAUCCUCAUAACCUUGUCCCAUAAACCAGAGUUCCACGGACGCUGACCAGGAGAGAUAAUUCUCACUACCAAUCAAUUUUUCCGAUGUGAUAGUAGGAGAUCUAGAGAUGACGGAUGUAAAAAUAGGAUUUCUAGUCGCCAUAUCCACUUCACCUGAGAUUGAAUCAUGUUUGGAUCGAAAAGAGCCCUAAAGAGAGGUCGGAUGACAGCUGUGGAGAAGAACCUGGUAUGUCGGGACCCAAACAAAGGAGAAAAGUGACUAGAGAUGAAGAAGAGGCCUUCCCAAGGCACACACAGGUCUCGGCCAAGGAAAGGAGCUGCCGUUGAAGGCCGUUGGAGGCUGAAAUACCAAAAAAAUGGAGAAGUAGGGUUCGGAGAGGACUGAUAGAGGCUUAGAAGUGCAAGACAGCGCCGGACGAGCCUGUUGGUAGAAGCUCGGCACCAGAAAGUGGGCCACGCGCCCUCGCACGCCGGCGCGUGGGAUUCAGGCUGCCAGAUAAAAACGGCGCGUGGGAGGCGCGUGAAUUAGUUUUUGGCUUCAGUGCUUUCAGAAAAGUUGCAGAUCUCCUCUUUGCGCUCCUGAUGAUGUGGUCGGUGUCGGAAAAUAUCGCCAGAAAAAAAGUCUCCGGAAAAUAUCGCCAGAAAAAUGUUGACGGUGAUGAGGGUUUUCUGACCACGAUAUGGCUGACCGGAAAGCUUUGGGAGAUGGAAAAGGUGACCGGAAUGAAACACGGUCACUGGACAGAUUCCCGGAAUUAAUUACACGGGUAAACCAGAAAGAAUAAAGUUCUCUCCCUUGGCUUUGAUACCAUGUUGAAAGAGAGAGAGAGGAAACCUUAAUUCUCAUUCAUAUGAUUAACUUCUUACAAUAGAGAAAUAUAUAUACAAGGCUAGGUUGAACUAACUACCAUAUAUGUGACCUAUAUUAAGAAAGGAAAAAAAGAUUGUACACUAUAAAUACAUUAUAUUCAACACAUACAUUUUGUAUCUACUCUGCAUGCCUACCUAUAAGAAGUUGUGAAUUAGGUUUUGACUCAAUAGCAUCUUAUCCGAUAAUCAGGAGUUAUAAAGAUAUAAAAUGGUGAAACGUCUUGCCCUUGUGAUCCAAUUAUAUCAGUUCUAGGUUUGUAAGUAUCCAAACUAGGACUCAUGAAUCUAGUUACUUCAACCCUGCAGCCAUGAGUAACAAAUGGGUUAACUAAAUUUUGCCUCACAAUAAGUUGGUACCUCAGACUCCAUUUGAGCAUGGGUGUCUGCUGCAUUAGAAAGUGAUUGGUAUCUCUCACUAGCAAUCCUUGAUCUUUCAUUCCUGUAACUGUUACGCCAUCCACUGGCAGCUGAUGGCCUUGGAUAUCUGGAAGAAAAAGUUUCUGAGGGGAACUGCAAACCAUUUUCAGAGUGAGCUGCUUCAUGUCCCAAGUGGGGAUAGCUAAGACCACUCCUGUAUGAAGGUAUAAAUCUUUGAGAAUAGCUACUGUGGCCUUCCCUCACAGACUGACCAGACAGACCGUGAAGAUAUUGUGGAAGGGAAAUGGGGAAUCUGCUUGAAACAGAGCCAUGAUGGUACCCACUGAUAUCCACAGUACUUCUUCCCACAACAAACCUAUCUGUCUCAUGGCUCAAGCCAUUUGUUUCUGCAAGAUUUUACCAAACAUUCUUUUAGAGACAAUGGAAGAGUUAAACAGGAAAAGUAAUAUAUGGAAAACAAACCUGAAUUUAAAAAUCUUCCAUAACCAGCUGGAGGCACAGCAGUAUGGCUCCUUUCAUAAGUGGUGGAAUUGGCUGUUAAAUUUGCAAGGUCUACUCUACUAGAAUGGUUUAUCAGAUUGGUUGUUGGACAGUAAUAAUGAGAAGAAUAGCUCGAUAAAUGACCAGUUGUUCUGUUGGGUUCCCACUCAAAUCUAGAUCGUCUUCUCACAUUCCUUAGAGAUGCUUCACCAGAAAUUGAGAGACUACUGGCCCCAUAAUGAGAUAACCCAGGACCAUAAAAGUAGUUUUGAUAAUCUAAAGUUGGUUUGUCCAGAUGAAAUUCAGAAAAACCAGAGGAACUUCCUGCAUCAUAAAAUCUGCUUGGAAUGCCCCUCUCAUAGGCUAUAGAAAUGCUGGGGCUUUUUCUUUUGAAUGGUCCUCUGCUGUUUUGCACUGCAGGAUCUUGUGAACCACCUUCAACUUCAUGAAUAGUGCUUCUGUUGUAGUAAGUAGAAUGAGCAUGGCUAGCAUUAUUCUCCUGAGUCCGAUAAAAGGUUCCAGCAGCUGACAAGUGUGAGAAUGGAUCAUGAGAUGGACCUGGGACAGCUGCUUGAAAACACGGCCUUUGCAUGCUGAAACUUGAUAAAGAAUGUUCAUUGGUUCCGCAAUUCAGAUUCCGCGGAAAGGCACUGCUUACCCCACUUGUGAGUGCAUUCUCCAUUUGAUGAACAUAAGAUCCAUACACAGGAUCAACAGCCCUUCCUGUAUACAAAUAUCAGAAUCAGCAAUUACCUGUGGUAAAAGUUAGCAAUCUAAGGGUUGGAUCUUUUAGGCUACACAAUGGUGUUCAACCUUGCCUUAGUUGUCUCCAGAAAUUUUAGAAUCAAGGAUAUAAAAUUUCAAUUAAAAAUGUUGAAAAUUUCAAAGUAGACCAAAAUUGAAAUGCCGUCACAAAUACUUUUCAUAAUCAUGUCUUCACCCUGAAUAUGUGCAACAUAUUUAGAAUAAUUUGUUGGUCUUCAUCAUCGGUAGAGGUGGAGGCACAUGGGACAUGUGUACACAUUAUCAAAAAAAAAGAAAAAAAAAAAAAGAAAAAAAAAAAGUUCAGAACUAUUGAGGAGUAUUAGAUGCAUACUUGAGAAGUGAGAAAGAGUGAGGAACAAUGAAAAAAUUAGAAACAUGGUUAAGAAACAUGGAGAUAGGAGAAACUUUUAGGAGCUUCAUGUGCCUAUUUCAAAUCAAUUUACACAAUCAACCUUAUCACAAAACUUAUUUAUAAUUAAACCAUUAUAAGCUUAGAGACGUUAUGGUAUUUGUUUUUUGGAUGAAUAGAAAAGGCCAAAAUAUUUGACUUUUUCUAUUAAGUUAAAAGUAACUUAUUGAUAUCAACUAACACAAUUAAAGUGAACUUGUUAUCUAUAAGUUCAAUUUAGUUUUUUUUUUUUUUGUUGAUAUCAAUAGGUUACUUUUAGCUAAAUAGAAAAAGUCAAAUAUUGUCUUUUUCUAUUUAGCCAAAAAAACAAACACCACCAAGUUUCUAGAAGAUCAAAGCUCUUCACUACAUGCUAGGAUACAACCCAAAGUCCAUGGGGAUUAAAAGAACGGCAUGGAAAAAAAGAAAAGAAAAAAUCAUCCAGGAAGUGAAUGGACAUGCAAAAAGGUUUCCAGCUGUGCACCUGAAUGAAUAUAAGACUGAUAUGCAUCCAUAUGAUAUUGGUUCUGAUCUUGGUCUGCCACAGACAUUUGGAAUGAGUUUGUAAAGUAUCGAUGCCCCAUGGCUUCAAAAGUUAGAAGAAAAGGAAGGUGAAACACCAACCUGCACAUCAGAAAAAAUGUAUUUUGGAACCUCAGAACCUGCGGGAAGUUCCCAAUGGAACAAUACAAGAAAUAAUUUGAGUGCAUAUGUAAAGUUCUAGAAAAUAAAUAUACAAGCAUGACAAGAUUAGCUAAGGCUUAAUAUAGAAGUAUAUAUAUUUAUAAAUUUUUCAGGCCUACCUCAUCUGGAGAGGACCAAUCAUCUAACUGUUGCCUCAUGCCUUAAAUACAUUAGUGUGGAGCCUAAGUUUGAGACAACUGUGUAAUUUCUUGAAAUCAGGAAACGACUUUUUUUUUAUUGUUGUUGUUGUUGGGGGACCAAUUGAUGGUUGGGGGUUUAAAUUGGGAGAUACCAAAGAGUGAUUGGAAAGUUAAUCAACCUUUAUCACACAAGGCCUGAUAUAGCCUACGUUGUGAGCUUGGUAAAUCAAUUCAUGCAUUCACCCUUAGGGUGUCACAUGGAGGUUGUUCAAAGCAUUCUAAGAUACCUUAAGUUUACACUAGGAAAGGGUUUAUUGCAAAUUGAAGCUUACAAAGAUGCAAAUUGAGCAGGUCCAUCACAAAUGAUAGGUCAAUCUCAGGUUAUUGCAAAUUUGUGGGAGGAAAUUUAGUCCCUUGAAGAAUUAAAAAACAACCUAUAGUGGCAAGAUCAAGUGCAGAAAUUGAAUUUUGUACAACUCAAGGAAUAUGUGAAUUAUCAUGGCUCAAGAAUCUUAUGAAGGAGUUAAGGAUGGAUCCUAUUAAACCUAUGAGAAUAUAUAGUGAAAAUAAAGCAACAACCUUUUUUUUUUUUGAUAGGCAAAUAAGAGUAAAUAUAAAAAUAAAUUAAAAACACAAUUAAAAAAAAAGGUGAUUACAAUAGACUCGAAGAAUACAUUUGAGAAAACCAAAAAAAGCAAGCUAUAAUCACAAGCCCAAUCUAGCACUUAAAGCUCAAUCACUCGAUAAAAUCUAUCACGGAUAAUGGACUAGCUUGACCAUCAACUAUAAGAUAGCCCUAAGACCACAUGUAUGGAUUAGAUAUACGGGAGUUCUUAAGAGAUUGACUAGUGCAUUGCACCCCUUCAAAAGUUCUUGGGUCGCAUUCCUUCCAGAUUGUCUAGAAGAGGCAAAAAGGAGUUACUCUCCAAGCCUUUCUUCUCUUCUUGCCUACAAAGCUCCCAUACCAACCCUAUAACAAAUUCCUCACCAAAUAUGGGAGAACAAAAUGCCAACUAAGAAGAACAAUAAGUGUCAAAGUCCUUUGCUUUCCCACAAUGGAUGAGUAAAUGGUCUUCUUAUUCUUUUGCAUCUUUAAACAUAACAAUAACCUUCUAAAAACAUCCUCUCCUUCUAAGCUGGUCUAUGGUGAGAAUCCUUGCCCAAGCCGCUUCCCAUGGUGAGAAUCCUUCCCUAAGCUGCUUCCCAUGAAAAAAAAUCCCACUUUGGAAGGAGCCCAAGAGCCCCAAACUAACUUUGAGGGGGCUAACACUUCAUUCUCCAAUUCCAAGGUGGAGUAAAAAGACUUCAUCGAGAAUUCCCCACUUUUGCUAGCCUUCCAAACCAUCUUGUCCUCCUCUCAACUACUUCUUCCUAAUACACAUAGCUUCCCAAGAAACUCUUUGACAUUAUCCAUCUCCCAAUCUUUAAAAUGUCUUAAGAUGCACAAGUUCCACAUGAAUAAGGCAACAAUAAGCAUUGCACAUAAUCCACUACAACAUAAAAAGACCAAGCACAUUGAAGUUGACCAACAUUUAUUUAGGAAAAACAUUUAGAGUGGACAAAUUUGCACUCUUUAUUCCAACAAAGAAGAAAUCGGUUGAUAUCUUCACAAAGUGAGCAAGUUGGGAAUGAAAAUUAUCUUCAAACCAACUUGAGUGAGAGUCAGAAUAUUAUUUUCAGCUCGAGUGAUUUGUUUUUUUUUUUUUGAUAAGUAAAGGAUAUGCAUUAAAAAGGCAAAACGCCACAAAGCAUACAGGGAGUAUACAAGGCGGCUAAGGCCUCAAAAAACAAAGACAAAAAGAAUCACCUCCCUUUAGGUGGAUGCUAUCCAAUCCAGGAAGCCUAUAAGGGAGAACGUCUCCUCACCUACAUACAAUUUGGCCCAACUCUACAAAUUACAGACAAAAAAAUUCUUUAACUUCUGAAUGUUCAACACACCCCCCAUAAAAGCUAAUCUAUUCCUCUCCUUCCAUACCGUCCAAAAAAUACACAAUGGAAUGGCGUCCCAAAUCUUUUUCCUUUUCUUCCCCACAAACGAGCCCCUCUAGCUAGCUAAGGCCUCCUUUACAAUUUCUGGAAAAACCCAUUUCACAUCAACUAAACCAAAAACAAUAUCCCACAAAGCUCUAACCACUGUACAAUGUAUAAGGAUAUGAUUUACACUUUCUUCUUCACAUCCACACAGGAAGCAACAAUUUGGAAGUUGCACCCCUCUUCUUUGAAAUCUAUCCAACGUAAGCACCUUCCCCCACGUCGCCUCCCACGUGAAGAAUGCAACUUUAGUUGGCACCCUUGCCACCCAAAUGCUUCUUAAAGGAAAAUCUGUGUCAUUAGACUUAGUCAACAAUCUAUAAGCUUCCUUGACCCUGAACUGACCACUUCUUCCUUGCCUCCACAGGACUGAAUCUUCCUCCAAAGAGGGCUUAUGACCCCUCAGCAUAUGGAGAAAUUCCCCAACCGUAUCCAACUCCCAAUCAUUGAAAUCCCUCAAAAAAAUUAGGUUCCAAUUUCCUUGACCCGAACUUUUUUUUCGAUCCCACAUUUCCUCAACCGUUAAGUUCCUUUGAGCAGCUAUGCCAAAGAGAUGAGGAAAACAGUGGGACAGCACUGAAUCAGAACACCACACAUCUAUCCAAAAUCUGAUCGUAUUGCCCUUCCCUACUCGGAACAUCAUGUUAUCCCAACACCACUCUGAUUCUUUCCAAAUCUCCUUCCAAAUCCCUACUCCAACCGCCCCAUUAGCCUUCUUUGGCCUCCAACCAAGACCCUCUUGCCCAUACUUCACCUUGAUAACUUGUUUCCAAAGGUUAUCUUUGUCACAAGCAUACCUCCAUAUCCACUUGCCAAGUAAAGCUUUGUUCAACAUGGCUAACUUCCUAAGGCCUAGCCCACCUUUAUCCUUGUCUUUACAAACCACCUCCCAUUUAACAAGAUGAAUUGCCCCCUCCAUAUUUCCCCCUCCCCACAGAAAAUCCCUUUGCACUUUCUCAAGCCUUCUAGCAACAACCUUGGGCAUUCUGAAAAUAGACAUUUGAUAGAUUGGCAUGCUAGCCAAAGUACUUUUUAUUAAAGUGACUCUUCCCCCUUUAGAGAUAUAUUGCCGUUUCCAAAGCGCUAGUCUCCUCCUUACUCUCUCUUCCACCCCAUCCCACAUAUAAGGCGCUCUAUUGGGAGCCCCAAGAGGGAGACCCAAGUACUGAGAUGGUAAGGAACCCACCCUGCAGCCUAGCUCAACAGCCAACUCCUCCAUAUUGAUUUAUUUCAUUGAAUUCUUCUUUCCAUUUAUAUAUGGCAAUUGUUGAAUAAUUUGUUUAGGAAGCAUAGAUUAGGUAGCAUUCUUAGGAAGAGAUUAACUUUGAUAGUCUUGUUUCUUAUUUCUUGUUUAUAUAACUGAGUGUAUAUAAUACCAAAUAUAAUUGCUGAAAAUAAUAAGUAUAAGUAUUCCAAUAUUUACUCUCUCCAACACCCUUAUCUCCUUCUAUUCUCAAAACUGCUAGCAUUCCCGCAUCUAACAUAUACCCCAAAAUCCCUAACAGGGAUGAUUAUCAGAAAAUUAUCACCAGUAGAAAAAGGAAUAUUCUAGUGUUGUUUUGCCACAGUUCUGAUGGAACCAUUUGAGAAUAGAACAAUUCAUAAAACAUCCAAUGAAAUGUUGAAAGAACUCUAAAAAGAAUACAUAAAUUGGAGAUCUUUAUCAGAAUACAGUGGAUCUAAAGGCAAAUGGCAUUAAACCAGCCACAGAGAGAGAGAAAAAAAGCAAAGGAAGUUUUUAAAACCAGUCAAAGAAGGCAAAUGUCUCCUGUCAAAGAGAACAUAUUAAUUCAUUGUAUUCCUCCAUCCACCUAACUCCUACCGUAAGCAGCAGGCUUUCAAUAGGUGAUUUAGAUUCAUUCUACUCAUUUUACACCAGAAUAUUAGUAGGAAUUUUUCAUAACACAGGUUUAGGAUCAAUGACUUUGUCAUAAUUGCUUCAUUGGAUAAGAAAUAGAGGUUUAUUGCCAUUGUUCAAGCAACUGAUUUCAGUAAUAAGAGCAUAAGGUCACACCAAAUGUCAACAUAAUAAGAACAUUCAAAGAGCUAACAAUUGCAGAAUCCUCUAGUCUCCAUCAAAUAGCAUAUAGAGAUUCAGUCAGCAUAUUACUGUACCUCACUUCAGAAUUGCCACUAGCUGCAACAAUAAUUUGAGGCCUUCUCAAUUCCAAAAAAUAAAUGACUCAAGCAAUUGAUUGCCUUGAAUACAUAGAAGCACACGAGAUGCUUUUGGGAAAAAGAUGUACAAGGCCUUAAAUAAACUUUAUUUGGAAGAAAAAAAUAUCAUCUAGGCCUUACCACUAGAACCAUGAUAUGAUUGUAUCCUCAUUGCAUUCUCUCAAUAGUGGAAGGCUAGAGUACUUGGUGUACUAGAUAGUACACAUCUAUUUACCUUGAUUAUUUCAGAGGAUGUAACAUCCUUGGAAUAAAAGGCACCUUGCAAGAUAAACACAGUGGUAACAAAAAAAAAUCUCCAUUUUCAUUAUGAAUUUCAAUGUAAACAACAAAUUCUAUGACUUUUCUUCAGUUUCAAUAAAGAAACUUCUAGGAGUCACUACAAUUUUCUCUUUCAACACAAAGGCUGAUUACUAAAAUAGAAUUGCAUCUGUUUGUAUACAAUGAAUCUUGAUAAUUACACAGGUUUUUGGAAAUGGAAACCCUUUCUUCUGUCGCUCAGAGAGACCAAAGUGCCUGCAAUGCAAUAUCAUUUUGUAAUUCAGAUGAACACUGAAAUGAAGGCAUAGCUAUCUGCCAAAUCAUGGGUGUCCUAUAAAUGGCUAGUGACUAACUCGUACCUUCUAGAAAUAAAAAAAUGAAUUCCUACACAAAAAAAAAAAAAAAAAAAAAAAAGAAUAAAAAGGAAAGAACCUGCUAAGGUUAAAAAAACAAGUAACUGCUUAAACCUCAAUGAUUCAGCCUGAUUUGAAAGCUCUGUAGCAACUUCAGAGGAAGAAAUUAGGAUCUAUGAAAUAAAUGAAUUUUUUUUUUUUUUUUGAUAGGUAAAGCUAAUGAGAAUUUUCUUUCGGUGGUGAAGUAAAUGAAGAAAAAUCUUAUAGUAAGUUACUUGAUAAGGAUAACAAAAGGCAGUUAGAAAAAGGAGAAAUGGAAUUAGUAAAUGAAUCUCCAAGGAAACUUGUCAAAGGAACAAGAUGAUUGGCAAACAAAUUCUCGCUCACCUUACUUGCUGGGGGAACUACAGGACUUUCAAACCAAAUGAUGUUUGAAUAUAUCUCUCAAAGAGAAGAUAUUUGUAGGCCAGAAAAGAUAUUCCAUCAACAUCCCUGAACCUGCAUUAAGGAAACCAGCUAAACCUAUACUAGCCACUCACCAGUACUUUUUGAAAACUAUAAAUGAACCAUAUAUGAUGCUGGUAAUAAAUCUCAAGCAGAAAUACAUAGGCCGGAAAGACAUACCAUCAACCUGAGCCUGCAUUUUGGAAACCAGCUAAAUCUACAAGAGAACAAGGAAAUCCAUGUCUUUGUAGACAUUGAAAAGAUACUAGGCAUGACAUUGAGACACCAUGAUUUAAAGAAAUCCGUGAACCAUUAAAUUAAAAAAGGUCUCAACCCCACAGAAAAUAUAUUAAGUUUUUGGAUGCUCACAUAUGUCAACCAGAUCACUUGACAUGGAGACUUUAAGCAAGUUUUUUCUUUUCCAAUGUUCUCUGGUGUGGUGCUUGUAUACAUUGUGUGUGCUUGGUUAUGCUCCCUUUUUGCUAGGCAUUUUUAAUUUAUCUUUAUUUGACCUAUCCAAAAAAGGAAAAAAAAUUGCUUUUCCAAUAUUGCAAAUACACAGAAUUAUAAGAAACUACAGAAGACCCUGCUGGCUGUAAAUGACCAGUUUCAAUUACUAAACCAGUCCUGCAGAGUCAUCAGUAUGUAGGUUACUAGUUGUGAAAAUUAUUAAUUGGUUUUUUUUUUUUUUUUUUCUGAUGUUAGUUCAUCAAGAAAUAAUGUCCAUUAAGCAACCAGCCAUUUGCAGCUUCAGGAGGAAUACACCAAUAAGAGUAAAAAAAUCUAAGGGCUGUUCAGUCCAGGUGAAAAACACGUAAUCCACAGAUGCUUUUCCUAGAUUGCUAUCCUCAAAAUAACGUCUUGCUGCAAGGAAACAAGGAGAAACCCCAGCAAACCAUUCAGCCAACCUCAACUCCAUGGAGUAUAAAAGAUAACGUGGACACAAUAAAUUGUAUGUGAAAAGAAUGAGACAAAUAAUUCAGUCAGAAAGAAGAGAAAUACUUCACUAUCUAAAUUUUUUGCCUUCCAAGGCUGAGAUGGUAUAACCUGGUGAUCUGAGGCAGUAAGCUUAAAGGGGAUUCAGAAUCCUGAAAGAAAAAUCACAUGUAUUGUGGACCAGGAAGUUCAACAUAGUGCCUGCAAUACCAUUAAUACCUUACCUAAGGACUACAAAAAGGAAAUCAGAAAUUAGAGUGAUUGAUCAGUAAUUAGAAAAUCAAGAUUUUCCCAUGUAGAUGUCAAAAUACUUGCUCAAAAUGAAAAGGAUGCUCUUACCAAGAAAAAUGAAUUUGAACUGUGAACUGUCUAAGUGGUGCUAUGAAAAAGCAAAAGGAGUCAAAACUAUGAAACAUAUGAGGAUAAACUGUGGGGAACUUAGUGAACAGGGACUGCCUGGGCACUAAGCAAGCAGUCUAAACUGCAUGUUAUAUGGAUAUAAAAAGUCUUUAAGAGAGAGGGAAAGAGAGAGGACUAAAUGGGCUAAGGGAACCAGAUAUUCUACCAGCUUCUCUCACUUGAAAGAAAAAAGGGAUCCCCCAUUUUUUUUUCAGUUACAACAUGACAACAAUAGUGAGGCCAUAACACAGAGAAGAAACAUCUUCACUGCUGAACCUGCAUACUCACUGAAAGGAACAAAGCCUAAUAACAUCUAACUAGAUCCUGUGAGUCUUAGUUACUUCAAGUGUCCAGCAUGCCGUAGACAGUUUUUCUUUUUAUAAGAUUCAAUAUUCAUACUGGAAAACAAAAAAGGUUAGGAGAAGGGGGGUGGGAUGGAAAGAAAGAAAUAGGAUAGUGUUCAACAAUGAAGAGUUUUCAAUACAUAGGUUGAAGUGUUCUUUUGUGUGUAGUUUAUGGUCUUGGACAAAGUUGUAUAUAGAUGCUGGCCCUUUAUCUUUAAUCGACUUUUUUGAUUGGUUGGGCAAUAGGUGAGGGCGGGUGAGGCUUUUGUUUUCCCUCCUGUUUUGCUCUUCUUAGCCUUUUUUGCACUUACUAUAUACUUCUUGUAUGCCUUGGGUUGCCCUCGCUUCCUUUUUCUAAUUAAUAUAUUCUCUUCUGUGUUUACCCAUCAAAAAAAGAGAGUGGGGUGGGGGGGGUGUGUUGUGGAGAGAGAGAGAGAGUACACAGAAAUUAUUAAACGGGUCAAAGCACAAUAUUUUGCAAGGAAUUCGAUCUCUGAAUAAGAAACUUCAGAUCCCCAAGAAAAAAAAAAAAAAAAAGCAAAAACUAAGGCUAUUUAAGAGAUCAAUUACUUCAUUCCAAAGAUUGGAGAACUUCCAAGCACGAACUGUGCAUUCUCUAACUUGCUUACCCAUUCAGUGACACUGCCUUAAUAACAAUUAAAAAAAGAGAAAAAAUAAACAAGUAGAGAAAUAAAGAAAUCUGACCUUCCAGCUUUUCUCAAACCAAUACAAGAGUUCAAUCUUUACACGAUCAGCUUGUCCCACACUAAGGCUUCGAAGGGGGUGAAACUGAUCUUUCUUCCCGGAUCUCUCAGGAAAACUCUUAUGCCCAAAUGCCUGAGUUCCCCCCAUGAACCCAGCGCACACAACAUAAAACCCUCCUAUGAAGAAUGAUUGAGAAGGUCCUUAAGAGGAGGCAGCCAAGAUCAAAUAGAAGGACAAUAAUGAGGGUUAGGCAAAGCAGCAGCCUUUCAAUCUCUUAAGAUAAAGGACAACUAUAUUUCAGGUAAGACUUAUGAAAUCAGAUAUCAAAUGAUGACAACAAAGUCAACUCUUUCUUUGUAGAACCAGCACUCUCAUUCUCAUCCUCAAAGAUCCUUGUAUGCCUAUCUUGUUCCUAUAUCCCCCAAUUCACCAAAGGGAGGCUAACCAAGUUCAUGUUAUAACAAUCUUCCCUGCAAGGCUCUGUAAUCUGAUAGCGAUAAGACCCCACAUAAGAAAACCUCCAAAAGAAAAACUAGAUAAUACUUAGAAGAAUUUGAAAAAUGAACAUGGAAAAUGCCAACCCAUAAUAAGAAAUAGGGUGAUGGACUCAUUCACAUGCCUCUGAUGAACAUUACAUAAACAUGAAAAUAUUGUCCAUACAUUUUCAUUUUUUAUACAAAACACUGCAACAGCUUCCAAGAUUAAAUUAUUGUGUCAAUAGAUUGCUUCAUAGAAAACGCCCACCAGCUAUGAUCAUCUAUAACAAUCAUCCCCUCCACUCUAGCUCAAUAAAAAAUAAUUUAUAGUAACAAACUGCUUUAUUGAAAAUUUAUCCACAUAAAUUAAUGUACAAGAAAUAUGUUUCACAAAUAAUAAUAUCAAUCAAUAACAAUUUUAAAAUAUUCAAGGAUAUCCUGAAAAACAGCCUGUGUGGUCCAUUAAAUUAGUAAAUUUGUCUAGAAAAUGGAUAGGAAGUGCAAUUUGAGAACCCAAACUAGAACUCUCCACCAGAAGUUUAGUAACUUGCUGUCAGAGUGCAAAUUUCAUUCAAGGAAAACCAAGCUUUCAGAGUGUAAAGUUUACUGAAGAAAAAUUCCAUCAAACCUCAAUUAACUGCCCCUCCAAGGCCCCAUUCCAGUGCUGGAAGCUCCAGUUUUAAGAGUCAUCAAAACCGACAGGCCUAGGGAAAGCAAAAACAAGGGAACCCAUUGCUUCUUUAUACAGACCACCAAAACCAACAUCCCCCAGGAUUACCAAGGAAGCACCCAAAGAACAGAAAAUAAGACAAUAGCUUGACAGUAAUUAAAUAGGCCUCCUCAUGCAUGUUUAAGCAUAUUCUCCCAUCUCUUUAUCUAAUACAAAGCUUCUUUCACAAUACAUAUAGCUUUCAAAUGUUAACAACAAAAAGAAAAUUCAACCCUCUAUCUCAAAUUACUGAAUAGUAUCACUUGCUUUUGAAUUGUUUCCUCAGGCUUCAUCCUCAUACCCUUUUUUUUUCUGCAAUGGUUGAAUCCCUUUAUUUUUCAUUAGAGUUCCAAUAAUAACUCAACCCAAAAAGAUAUUACUUGCCAAAUGCAUUAGGAAAGGUGGAAAUUAAAAAUCGAUCAUGAGUCCAUAACUUAGAUUAAGUGCUGUAAUCCGAUAGCUAUUGUGAAUUUGAAAAUUUUGGACUGAUUUACAGGAUAGUCAAGUUAGAUAAUACACAAAAUAAAAUAAAUUUAUAGAAUGCUUUAAAUUCCAGAGUACAGCAUCUUCUGUAUCUUUUUUUUUUUAUCAGUUACAUAAGAUACUUAAGAAAAUGCAUCAAAAUUUCUUAAUUAAACUCAUUAAAUUUAAAGAAAAUGCAAUCAAACUAUGAGACAAGUAAUAUCACUCCUAAAAGCCACUAUUUUGCUAUCACAACCAAAAGGAAAACAAAAAUAAAAAUCAUAACCACGCUCAUAACAAAAAUAAUAAUAAUAAUAAUAAUAUUAAGAAGAAUGAUCAUAACAAUAAGUUAAACAAAUAAUAAUUAUAACAACAAGAUCAACCAAAGUAUUUCCAAAUAUACCUCUUCCAAAAAAAAAGAACACUUUUUGUAAAUAAAUAACAGAUAAAUAUGCAAAACAAUUAAAAACUAGUUAAUCCGACUUUGUGCAACACACAACCACAUUAUCCAAAUCAAAUUAUUGAUAAAUCCCUUGCCAACACAAAUUUUAGAAGAAUACAGACUGAUAAUGAAAUUCAAACAGAAACGCAAAUAAUUAAAGAUUAAUCAGUAAUAAUAAUUUAAUAAAAUUAAGAAAAAGAAAAAAACUGAACCGAUUAAAUUAAGAAAAAGAGAAAAACUGAACCGAUUAAAUUAAGAAAAAAGAGAAAAGUAUGAAAGAUCAUGUGAAUAUAGUACAUUGAUUAACAUAUAAUGAUAUGAGGAAGGCAGAUUAUAGCGGAAACCAUACCUUGGCCGUGGCCGUCGAGGACACGUUGACUCCGGCCGGCCUGACGAUCUACGGGGAGUAGAGAGCGAUCGCAAUUUCGCAAAGAGGAUUGCAAAUGCCUCAUGUGGAGAAAGAACAAAGAAUUACCCCAAUUUAUAUAGGGAUUCGUGAAAAUAAAAUUACAUAAAAUUGUGCACCUCAAGGCCGCUUUUACUAUUCUACCCAUACCAUUGGGCCAGAUCAGGUCGAUGCUAGUAUGCCAAAUGAAGGGUAUUUUGGGUAUUUUGGCUUGUGCACUUUUGCCUCGAGACUGCCUGGUGUACCAUGAGGAGGUGGCUAAGCUUUACACGGCAUAGGCGAAAAUAGAACGCUAUCGUUUUAGCGAACGCUGCUCCUCGGCUGGGAACGAGAUGCCCAAAAUUUUUUGAUUCAUCAUAACAGCCAAUUCAUUGUUCGUUGAAUUGAAUAAAGACAUCAAUGGAGGAAUCAUUAUAAUGCAGCAACUUCUAGGGAAAUCAAGGAAAAGAGAAAAAAAAAGGUUUCAAACAUUACUUCUUUUCCUUUUUCACUCUUCUCUGAGGAACCAAACCCUGUUGUUUUGUCAGUUUGGUUAAUGAAUUCACAUAGGGCACAACAAAAACAGCAGUUGAAAUAAAUCAUGCAGUUUUGCCUUUGGAAUAGGAAAGAGUAAGCCAUAAGCCAAUGCACCCCUCAACAAUUCCAUUUCGAAGAACCACGUCUUUUUUAGCUUACUUGAGGAUGUGCCCAUCUUGGUAUUCGAUUAUGAUGGUACUUGGCCGCGGCAAAGUUGCUACGCCUCCUUUUCAUGGAAUAUAGCCUGGAAGUUUCACAACGAGGCAAAUACCUACAGCCUGCCAGCCUGUUUGGGCACCUGGAAAUUCAUUUCAGUUUGGGAUUGAGAUUUUCACUCAUGAGUACCUGACUAGAUAAGAAUGGAAAUGUGUCAUUAAGUAUGUUUUAAAUCCCUUUAGGCUUUCUAGGGAUAUGUUCAUCACAUACAUGUAAGACAAAUGGUCCCUUAACAUUCGAGGAGAACAAGGUGCUGUUCUGACUGUUGACACAUUUGUGGGGCACUUCCGGAUGAGUUUCUAUAUUUUUUAAUGGAAAAAAAGGCAAUAUGUUGUACCAAGAGGAUCAUAAUAGCAGGCUAAUUGCAUGACAAAACCAUAUUCCGUAACCCAAAAAAGAAGCAUCUCCAGCUAUUACACAACCUCUCUGAGUAGCUAAGGCAUACACUUUUGAAAGUAAAGUUUCCAAAGAUUCUAAACAUCCUCUACAGCAUCUCUUCCUGAUUCUUUUGCGCUCUCUCCAGCAGUCAACCUCUCAACUGCUAACCUUUCUUCCAGUGCUCGAGCACCUCUUUCUCUGCAAUUCGACAAAAUGUACCAUAUAUUAUACACAGUUAAUAACCUCAUCACUACCACAUGAAAUAUUGGCUUUUCAUUUUUCCUCCUACUAAAACUAAGACCCAUUGCAUUCUUUUGCAUGAAAGUUUAGAUAAAAAUUGUCUUACAUGAAUAGAAGCAUUAGCACCACCAUGUGAGAAUGGUUAAAAAGCAGCUUUCAUUUUCCCUUUUUCUUUUUCUUUUUUUUUUUUCAUACUACUUCAAGAAUUUUAUGUGGAAGAAAAAAGGUAGAUGAUCAAGCUUGUCUUCUACAGAUUAAACAAAAUGUGUUCUAAGUUCUAACAUGAAAAUUUUGAUGAUAUUUGCAUCCUAUAUUAGAAAAAAAAAAUAAAAUUGCAUUGCUUUUUACAUGCAAUAUGACUUGUAAAUAUAGAAGUGGAAAACUACGAACUAAUACCUUCUUCUAGAUGCUUCAAUGGGAUCAGAGCCAGGCAAUGGGGCACCUCCCAAGGUGUGACCCCUAUCCUCAUCAGAAAUUUCAAAUCUUCCACAACAUAAUCGUCCAAAUACUGAUCCAAUGGGAUCAAUCACUGGUCUGCAUGUCAACCAUCAAGAAACAGCGUCAGAAGAAGAGAAAGCAACAGCAGCAUCACUUUUCAAAAUUAUUAUUUCACAAGAAACACUAGAUUACCUUAGAAAUUCAGGGAAAAAUGUAGAGAAUGCAAACUCAUCACUUGGGUCACCCUUAAGUCUUGUUUCUGGUUUUCUCUGUAGGUAUCUGAGGUAAAUCCAGCCCAUGUAUGUCCCAAAUAUUAAGGCUGGAAGGUAUGCUGCUGACUCUGUUGUAAAGAAACUUAUUGCAAUGGAUAGCAAUAGCAUAAGAGACGGCAACCACUACAUGGCAUCAGAAAUGGUGGAAGAGGGGGCAUCAGAAAUAUAUCCAUACUUCACUGAAAUUUAUAACAGAUGUUAUUAUCUGAAAGCAUGAUAUACAAUCAAGCAGAUUAUUUCUAAUAGCUUCUUACCCUUGCUCUUAUUUUCAAGAGGGAAAAUAAGGAAAGCUCUUGAUCAGGGAUGAUUUGCUUUAUGCCAACUAGGAAACCUGAAAGGACUCCGUGGAAGCCAGAAAGAGGCAUAUAACUACCAAAAAGGAAUGAAUAAAGGUUAGGCAUCCCAGUUGAUGCUCAUCUAUUGCAGGGUCAAAAACUAUUGAACAAGAUACAAGAAGUAGACACAACAUAAACAUCCAAAUAGGAAAAUAUGCAGAUUGAUGGGAGGGUCUGGCAUCAUGACAGUUCAAUCUAAACUAUAGGAAAAUGCUAGCAUUCAUGACAAAAUAUUUCUAGAUGCAUAACUUGAAUUACUUGAUUAUCUUGCCACAUGGUGCGCAUGACCUGAAAAUGGUCCAUUAGGCCUAACCAGCUUUCAGACAAUUGCAAAGUGUAUGUUCCCUCAUUUGUGCACUUGAAUCAUCAAACACAAUGGCUAAAAUCUAAAUGCAUAAAUGAAGGGGGCCCACACAUUGAAAUGGAAUGAAACACAGCAAAAUCCUAGUCAAGUGAGCUACAUUUCAAUCCAGUGCUGCCAUGGAGAGGUGAUUACAGGAUGGUUUCUGCCAACUAAUUCAAAUCAUGUAUCUUGAAUUUUUUUUCCUUUAUCUAGAUGCAUAGAAUUUCCCUUAAAUGUUUUUCUUUUAUUUCUACUUUUCUUUUAUUUUAACAGACAAUGUUUUUCUUUUAUGCAUCAUUGGUUGCCAAUAACUAUGUAAAAGAAAAGAAAAGAUACAAGACUCUCACUCUUCUCUUUUUUCCUCCUCAACCACCAAAUGGGACUCUAAACUAUAGGAAAGUUGUUGGGGGAAAAUUAAUCACAAAAGUAGGAAACAAUUGUAGCAAAAUAGUAUAAGCAUUAAAAAAAAUAAAGCAAUUGUUUCCAGGAUACAUAAGCUACCAGGAAUACUUACAGGUAAUUUUCCUGCCUUGUUAUAUAGUACAAGGCGAUAGCUGUGAUGAAAACGCACACAGAAGUUAGAAAGUUAACUACAAAGAUGAACUUCAAGAAUUCUCUAGUGCCCCAUAUGGGUUCAAGCAGCUUUCCCAAAAAAAGAAGACCAACUGUGCUGACCACCGUCUGGAAAACAAGUUUGACCAUCAGAACAACUUUAUGAAGUAGAAGCAAAAGCAUUUCAGGAAAAAUAACAAGGGUAAAAAUAGAGUUGCAAAGUUUACAGUAGAAGUUGUUGUACCCCAUAUAUGGUUUGUUCAAUGUAACCGGAUGUUAUUAGAUUCCAAGCGAAAGGUAUUGUCCUACAAACAAAUUUAAGGGACAUUUUAGGUCAUUAUAUAAACCUUGCAUAUCCAAAGCAUCGUGCAUGACACUCAAUUUGCCUUUCCUGAAAGAGAUAGAAAUAGAUCAAAUAUUAUUGCAUCCAAAAACCAAUCCAGGUCUUUGACCAUAUAUGGCAAAUCAUCUGGUAAUGUCUCACUUUGCAGUUAGAGAGCUGUUUCUUCAUUACAUAAUCAAGAUACACACACAGUUGGGGUGAAGAAAGAAAGGAAAAUGCCCAAGCCUGCCAUGCAAGACAAGUAGUAAACAGCUGCAUCACACAUGAAAAUGGAAUGCUACCCAUCACUUAUGAGUUUCAGUUGACAAGUAAGCUUUUUUAUUAAAAGAAAAAGAAAUAAAAAAUAACAAAAUAGGGAGUAAAAAAAAACCUUGAUCCUAUAUGUCAAUUGAUCUAAGGAUUCACAAAUCAAUCUAUUAUUCACUAGUGAUAUUUUCAAGAGAACUCUAGAGAAUCUAUCAUAAAUCAAAGGUGAUCAUUUUCAUUAUACUAUGAGAAGGAGACAAGGUACUUGCAUCAGGAGAGGAACCAAACAGGCAAAAUCACUGAUCAGCCCCAAGAAAUAUGAGAGAAUCUUCCCAGCCACGUGAAGACACGUGUGUUGUUGAAAAAUUAUCCUAUUACCAAUAAAUAUUGACAAAUCUGCUUCAUGUAUGUUGUUGAAACAUAACGAUGUUAACAACAAACUGUGAUAGGCCAGUUAUAAUGGCCUUGCAAGUUGUGUGAUCAAGUCCAAAAUCAUCAAUAAACAAACCAAACAUCUAAGAGGGGAGUCCAACUGUAUUCUGUGAUUUCUGAGGACAGCAUAGUUCUAUCAGUCAGGAGCCAUGCUGAGGAUCUCCCUGAUUGCCUGUGUGCUAGAUCAGUUCCUUUAUUUGCACCGGAUGUCUCAUCUAGCCAAUUUGAAUCCAAAACCCCUUUUUUCUCUUUUUCCAGAAGGAGAUUUAUAUUACAGCGCCAAGAUAUCAUUUUCAUGGUCACCAAUUAAAGUACUAAAGGUUAUUCCACAACCAUACAGUAACUCUUUCCUCAGAUCUCAGUUUCAGUCGAACGACGGACUCUUUUCCCUUCACAUCUUCUUCUUAAAGGACUUAUCUUAUUCAUAAAGUAAUAUCUUCCCAGAUUUUCUUUGUGGAUUUGAGGCCUAGGGCAUGUAUAUACAAUUCCAAAAUCCAAUGGUACACAGAACAGUCAAACUGUCCAAUCCUUGCAUUUAAAUAGGAAUAGAUAAUUUAACAUAACAAAGGAAACAAGUUUCACUGAGAUAUAGAGCAACCCAACACAGCCAAUAUAGUCUGCAUUAAUUGUCAAUAUAAGAUAAUUACAAAACUGUUCUACACUUGAAGCUUGUGAAAGCAAAUCCAUUGACACAUUGGGUAGGGACUGCAUAGUUAUUCACAUUAAGACACAUUCAAGCUUUUCUUUCUAUAUAAUGCCAACACAAUCAGCGCAAGAAAUUUAAAUUGCACAAGCUAUAUCUGAUGAAAAGAGCUAUAAUUAAUUGAGAGAGUACGAUUUAUAAUGUGAUUUGAAGAUAAAAAUACCUAGCAGGAAUAAGGGCUAGAUAAGCAACGGCUGAAGGGAAAAAUUGCACCACAACAUGGCCACCAACAAUUACCACAGCAAGGCCCUUGCACAGCCGCGUAAAUCCGGAAAAAUUGCCUGUGCCCUACCAAUUACAAGCUUCAAAUCAAGCUAAAUCCAAAUCAUUCGAGUUACAUAUCUACAGAAAGAGAUCGGAAAAAGAGAUCUAAACUAAUUUAUCCAAAUCAAGCUAAAUUUCAACCAAUAUGAUCUGAGAUAUCUUAACCACACCCCUAAGCAUCCAUCAAUCCUUUCGAGCACUCUCUCGCUGAUAGAUCAAAUAAAAUUUGUUCUCUUUGCCAAGACAGAUUCAUCGAUCUGCUUUGCCCUCUCUUCGUUGCAAAUUUCACUUAAAAUGUAUAAAAAAUUGUUCGCGAAUUAAACAGAUAAAAAUAAAACCAAAAACAGAAGAACAACUAGACAUUGUUUCGGAAUCGAAAAGCCUGAGCUAAAUUAAUCCAAAAAUCAGUACAAUUAGAAUUCAGAAUUGCUGAUUUCCAUUUCUUUUUCCCAUGCUUUCAUGGAAAACAAACGGAGAAGUGAGAAUUAGAUAUGUGUGCGUGUGAGAGAGAGAGAGGAAGAGAGAGAGAAGACUCACUCCUGAAAGCGCCGAAGAACUCAUGACGGAAAAUUUGAAAUGGUGGCGGUGGAUUUGGCUUGGAAAGAUCUGAUUCCAAGGCUGGAUUCUGAUUUUCACCGAGUCUUGCCAAUGAACGAGUGAUUCGGUACCUCGCGAGCCACCGCGUUAUAUUGUAGACCAUGUAGGAUUUGACGCCAGCCGCCUAGGGAAAAUAUUUUUAUCUAUUUAUCAUUAUUACCGUUUUUGGUGGCACCGUCGAAUGCUUGGGCAAGCGAGUGAAAACUGAUUGAAGGAAAAUCAAACUUCUUUUUCAAUUUCGUCAUUUUCAGUACCGGAUUUUGCUAUGGUGAGGAAAAUUGACUUCAUUUUCGUUUUAUGUCAUUUUCAGCACACCAAAUGGAGGGUAGAGGUUUAAUCAAUUUUUACCUUCAAAUGUCAUGUCAUUUGCUUGCAUGAUUCCAUUCUCAUUUUGUCUUGUAUUUGGGAAUUUUCAAAUGCCAUAUAAAUAAUCACUAACUAUAAAAAUAAGAGUUUGUUUUAUAGAGAUUUUAAAAAGUUUUUUUUUUUUUUAAUAUUUAAAAAAAAAUCAAAUAUUAUAAAAUUUAUAAACACUUUUUUUAAAUCACAAUCAAACGAAUUUUAAGAUUUCAUAUAAAUAAUGAAAUCAAAAUAUAAAAAAAUGAGACAAAGAUAUUAAAUAACAGGACUAGACUAAACACACAGUAAGAUAAGCUAAACAUACAUGUGACAUGAUUGAUCGCGUUUUUGUUUUAAUCUAUUAACAUUAUAAUUGAAAAGGGUGGAAAGAGUGGAACAAUUAGAGUUUGCCUUAGGAAGAAGGGGUUUUUUUUUUUUUAAUCUAAAAGGGUGACAAUUUAAAGUGGGUGUGUAAAUGUCAUUUACAUUUUAAUUUUUUUUUAAAAAAAUAUUUAAAAAUAAACUUAACUUAAAAACCAAUCUAUAGACAUGACAAAAAACAACAAAGGGUCCAAGUGUCUGUUUUAUUGAUAAAGGAUCCUAUACGGAAAGGUCACUUAUCCAUUCUUUGAUUUCAUUGAUGGGUUUGAGUGGGGUCUUUACCUAUUUUGUUUUAUUUAGAGGGUGUAGUGGGGUUGUCUUGGGGCUGUUGGUUUGGCCUGAUAGUUUGCUUCUUACCCUUUUCCUUUUCCUUUCUGGCAGUAGGGAUGAUCUGUGUAUGCCAAUCGAGCAGUAGGAUUGAUUCCUCUGACGUCUUCUGCAUUCCCUAUUUGCUUAUGAAGAGAGGAGAAAGACAGGUUCUCCUUCUAUAGUUUCUCUUCUUUUAAGCCUUGUUGAGGAAAAUGCAAGCAACGCUAAUUUGGUCGAGGGCGUUUGGACUUGGUUUCUUUCCCAGUGAAUUGUGGGAUGGGCUGUUAUACAAAUAAACCAUUCUUACCUGCAAAGCAAUGCCAAAACGUGCUAAAUACUUGGUUAAUUCGGAUGAUCAACACAAAGGAAUCCAGUCAUAAACAACUGGACAAAUAUAUUACUAACAUGACGUAUUGGAGUAUAACAACAGCUAUUUCUAUAACCGUGACUUUGUACAGAUCUCAAUAUUUAUGUCUUUUUUAUGGUUAUCCCUCACAAUUCGCAAUAUCACAGUUAACAUGGCCUAAAGUUUGCAGCCUUGAAAGAAUGUACACAAGCAAAGGAUUAACAGUGACUUUGGAUCCGGGCCAUCAUGGAAGUACAAAGGUGGAUAUUACCAGCCAUGAGACCUAAUAAUCCAACUGAACUCUGGAUUGUCAUUUCUCAUGUCAGUCUUCUCUGCCAAGGUUAGCUCUAAAACAAGGGAUUCUUGGGAGGGUGUCGAUAAAACAUCAAGCACUAAUUGCAACUCGCUUGGAAGGAAGUGAUACUGGGCCCAAGUAGAUUUCAGACAGUGAGACUAAAAUCCGAUGGCAUGCCAAAGCAGAAGCUGUCAUGAACAUGAUAAAAGAAGCCCAGCAGAACCUCAGGGUCAACACAGGGUCUCUCCUUACUGAGUUGAGUAUCUUGAAGAAAAUCACUUUGAGCCGUCGAUCUCUGAGGACAGACUGAUAAUCAUAAGUAAGUGCGGAUGAUCUGGAGAGUGAACUUAGAUCUCUGUUGUUGGGUCCACUUCUCAAUCUCCAUUGGGAACUAUGUUGUGUUAUGGCAAUGCCUUGUCCAAUAACUUCAAGCAUCCGUUGGUAUAGUACAUCAGCAAUAGCUUUGCAAAGUUGUUGGCGGAAGAAAAUUGCCUCCUUGGAAAUCAUCAUUCGGAUCAACGAAGCCCCAUCCUGUUCAUUUGAAUGCAUAAUCAGUUUCAUGUUCCAAAAUUUGCAAAAUAUCACACAGGUUCUUUCUUUUAUUAAUGCUCAUUCACUUGCCAUUUAUAAUCCCUUUGGUUAUCAUGGAGUUGCAUACCGUUUGCAAACUAGGCCAAAAUCAUCAUAGCCAGGGAACUAAGCCCCAAAAUGAAGUUAUUUCUAUAAAAGGAAAACACUCCACAGCUGAUAGACUGGUCAAUUUUCCUCAGGACCUAAUCCAUGGUGACACAUGUAACAAGAACACAGGCCACCUCAAAGUCCAAUCAAUCAUUUAUAUGCAAAUGAAAUGGAAUACAAACUACUGCCUACUCACUAAUUAGAAUACCCUCUUAAAUCAGCACUUUGUUUUUUAAUUGAUCUCUCACAGCUUCACUGAACAUUAAUAAGACCAACCAUCUUGUCAUGGGCAGACUUGAGCAUGAUAUAUCAUCAUACAGUGCAGUAGAACUUCUAAUACCCAAAAGGGACUACGGCCAAUAACAGCAAUAAAUUUGAGGAAAGAAGGUCCAUCUCAGAGGCACUUACUGCAGUCAUUAAGAGUCUUCUCAGCACAACACCAUCCUUGGAUGGUAAAAGCCUCAAGACCAAGUUUGCAACAUCAACUGUACCAUUGACCCCACCCGGUGAAUAAUUGAGUGGAGCUUCACCAUUGGGUGCUACCAGCUGUUGCAAGCCUUUCCUGAAGAUAAAUAUCAGAAGUAAUAAAUAUGAAUACAGACAAAUGCAAAAUUUACAAGCCAUCAGAAAGAAUAACUGAGGCUACUAAAAGGACGAGCCAAACCAUGCAUCAAUGAAAAGAGAAUUGAUGCUAGCUCAACAAGCAAUUGUAUUUAGCAGAUUAAAUACUUCUGGUUUCUGGAGCUUAUGCAUAAGACAAUAUUUAUAUUUAGCCAAACUAUGGUCCUCAUAAUUUACAAAAAAAUCUUUAAGUGUUCUUGUGCAUGUCCUAUGUAAGUGGGGCUACCAUCCCUCCAAGAAUACUUAUCUUCUACCAUCUCCUUUAGCACAACAAUUCUCAUUGAAACCCUAUAUCACAGAAAAAUCUGCAAAAGAUUGCCUAGAAAAAUGAAAAGAGCUUCUAUGAGAUCAAAUAAAGGUAAACACAAGGUUUCCAUAGGAAAUGAGUUUUCUAGGGGUCUCUUUAUUCGUCUAAAGACUUGGUAACUGGCACAUCGUGAAAAAUGAGAAGCCAGGUAUGUUAAGAGUUGGCUGAGAAACAUUAUGUACGUCACAUAAAAAUAGUCAAUUAAAGUGCAUAUUAAUUCAGAACAUGUAUCACUUAUUAUUUUUAUCUUUUUUUUAAAAAAAAAAAACCACCUUCAGCCUUCAGGGCAUAAUAACUAAUAAGUAUGGAUAUCCAAAUCAGUUAAAAAAUAAAAAAUUGCAAGUAUUUUGCAAAACACAAUUUAGCAUACCUAGUUGCACCCACUCUUAAGAAGAGAGAAAGCUUCUGCCACUGGAAUUCUUUCCUUCUGUUUAGAACCACCUGUAUGGGUGCAAAUGAAGUGAAUAAACAACAAAGAACUGCUAAUAAAUAAAUUCAAGAAUGUUCCUGAAAUAUUUUUAGAAAUUAAGAGUAUUAAAGUAUGGCACUGUAGCAGUAUUAGCUGACAAACAAGCACAAAGAAGAUCAAGAAUGUUACUUCUCUUUUCCCCACGUGUAAUUAUCAGUAAGUCAUGUUGACGGAGAUCAAAAGCAAAUACAUCAUAACAUGAUACAACCCAGUAAAAAUCACCAAAAGAUCCUACAAUUCUUAAACAUUGAUACCGAAUGUAAAAUUCUCCUUGUGGCAGGUGAGUUAUCAGUGAGAAGCUUCUGAACAACAUAAGGAUAUGCAGCUUCAAAUGUCUUAAAAUUUUUGUCUGCAGCUAUUGCCAAUCCUGAGAAUAAAUGACAAAACAUUGAAUGUAAAUUGAAGUACAUAGAAAAUCAUUAGGUCAAUUGAACAUGAAAGAAAAAUGAGUGUAUACACAUAUAUACACAAACAUACACAUAUAUGAGAUGGCAAGGUUGGAGUGCAUAAACCAAAAGAAACAUGUGGGCUAGCCUACAGACGCUGAUUAGACAACCCAUUGGCCAAAGAUUAUGUGAUUGCUCAGUAGUCUUUGGCAAUCCCACAUUUUUCAUUGCUGAUGAUUUUAUCUAUCAUCCAAUGGUUUGGGUAAGCUAGACAAAUCCAUCAGGCAAUUCAGAGAAAAGAAAAAAUUUAUCAUUCUCAAUUACAGCUUUGCAAUUUCAGAUUUUCAAAAUUAAAAAUAAAUAGAACUGUGACGAUUUGAAGACUGUAGCAUAUUAUACCUUCCAAGGAAGCAAGAGAACGCAGGACUAGAGUAUAAUAUGGUGGCAUCCGAAAAUGAUAUUUAAGGGCUAUGGACCAGAUUUUACCCAGUACCUUCAGAAAAAAUUAUUAUAAUAAUCAGCAACACACCAAGCUGAAAGCAGUCAGAUGCAUCAGACUAGAAAAGACAAUAGCUAAAGGAAGUUCACACAAAUAACUAUGGAGUGUCCAUAUACAAUAUUGGUUCAAGCCUCACGUCACAUGACAAGAAAUACGAAUAAAAACUAGUAGCCUCAUCUAGAUAAGAUUCUUACCUUACUGAACUUGACAUCAGGAAUUCCAUCUUUGAAUUCUACCUCUCCCAAGGCAUCCUCCAGAUCCUGAAAUUUUAACUCAACUUUUAGCUUCAAACAAUGUGAGUUCUAACAAUUGCAGUCCGUGAGGAGACAAUAGUCUCUACCCUAUAAAUCUAACAGAACAUAUAAUAGUAUACCAUAAGUAGCGCAUAAAUUCAUACCCUUCUGCUAAAAAUCCAAUGCUCAGUAACAGAAAAAUACUAAUGUAACAUAUAUAUCAAAAACUAGAGAGCCGAUAGAGUACCAUGGUAACACGCUGAAUAUUAGUUCCAGCUCUUAUAAUGUCCAUUUCGGUCAGCGCAUGAACAAGGGACGGCCAAUCCCCAUUUACAAUAUGCACUAUGGAUGCAAGCAUGGCAAAUUGAUGCUUCUUUUCCAUCCGACAAAGCAAACCGAAAUCCAAAAACCUAGAACAAAAUCACUAGCAAAGGUGAGAGUGUCAUAAACAGAUUUUCCAAUAUAUUUUGACAACAAACAAUAACCACAUUUAGCAUAGAGAAACAUAGUUUUGUACAAUAAAGAAAAAGAAUCAAAUGAUUUACCCAAUUUGCCCUGAAGGCAUGUAACGCAAAUUUCCAGGAUGCGGAUCAGCAUGCAAUAAGCCUGUAUCAAGGAGUUGAACUAGGGAUGCCUCCACUCCUUUGUUCACCUAGAAUAAUUAAGCACAAGCAUAUGCAAGUAUGUCAGGCACGUCUAAUAUUUGGCUAGAUCACAGAUUCACAAUUUCACAGCACUGAAUCACAGUAGUCUUCAGGAAAAAAUAACGUAAAAGCAAAUUUUAUAGAACCAUUAAACAAUAUAGCCUCCCUGUAUGCUUUAGGUUGCCUUUUAGGUGCCUUUUUCUCUUAAUAUAUUUUUUCUGUGUUUAUCUAUCAAAUAUAUAUAUAUAUAUAUAUAUAUAUAUAUAUAUAUAUAUAUAUAUAUAUAUAUAUAGCCUCAUCCUAAAUUUUUGGGUUGACUCUUGAACUCCUGUUUCACUGUCCCAUUCUACCUAGGCCCAUCUUCUGUUAGACAUCAUUCAUUAGGUCUUUUCUCACUACAAAACUGCCAUCUCUUUUUGACCAUCUCUCUCCCUUUGUAGACCCUUCAGCUUGCUAUAUUUUUUGCCAAUCCAAGGAUCUCAAAUUCAUUAACUUGUCAAAUCUAAAUUGCAGUUUAAGCAACCUGAGCCCUUCUUAGUAGGAUUCACAUCAGGACUAACAAGAAAAUUUUAGCAAAGUGAAAACACAGUACAAGAGUAAUUCUGUCAUUCAUUAUUGCUCACCAAAUCAAGAAGCUGUCGUUUGGCAUCAGUUUGCUGCCUCUCUGAAUAUCCAGAGACAUGAGCAAUUGAGUUUCCAGCAGAUGCAGAAAUUAAAUCACUUGGAUUCUCACCCACCAUCCACUCCAUAGUUAGCACUCUCUUUCGACUUAGAUGUCGAAGAACUUUUGGAACACGAAUAAAUGAAAAGGAGGAAUGAGUUUCCUGUACAGAAACAAACAGUUAAGGAGGAGCAGGAACAUUUAAUCUUGGAAAUUGACUAUGCAGUAAGAAUAAACAGGUAUCAGCCUGUCUCUUUGCAUAUGAAGAGAGCCCCAGAUUCCACUUCAUUAACUGAAAACCAUUAUCACCUCCGCUACUCACUUUUGUAGAAAAUUUUACAUCAACUAAAACAAUCAAUUUAUAUUAGCUGAUAUUGAGCUACACCUUGAAGAUGACCCAUAAACUACAGUAGGUUAGGAGCAAGUGUCACAUAGUAAAUAAAAAUAGAUAAUAUUUACAUCUUAAUUCUUAAAAUUACUUCAAGAUGUUUAUGCUAUUUACAAAAAUAAUUUAAGGUGAAACUGUCACAAAAUAUUGAAUGGUAAUGAGAAGGCCAAUCCAUGAUCUCUUCAUCAGUAGCCAAUGUUCAUGGAAAAGAUAAUAUUCUAAGCUUUCAUGAUCUUCCAUGUGUUGUUUGCAAUCAGAAUAACCAAAGUUUAAAAGAAAAUGAAGCUCAAAAGUUAAAUCUGGCAUGACUCAAUUCAAUGAUUUUAGUUUCUAACUCCAUAAACUUCUGCAAUUUAAUCCAACCUCCAGAGUGACGGAAAUGUUAUCUGAAGUGGAAAUUUGAGCCCUCAGGAAAAGUUUCUAGUAGCUCUUCAUGAGGCCUUUUCAGUUAUCCACUUGACAUUAAAAAGGCAAUGGAACUCAAAUGGAAAACAUAACAAGUACCAGGAACUCAGAGGCAUUUGCAGCCUCUAAAGUGUAAUCCAACUCUCCAGACAAGCCCUUCCCAAGUUCAUCGGCAUAAAGACGAGGAUCACUUUUUCUCUUUGCAAUCUUUUGCACUAGCCCCAGCUGAAACAGUUAAUUGCCAAGUUAAAAGAAAGCAAACAACUAAUUAUGGAAAGACAAAGAAUAGGUUGAGGCCAGUACAAACCCCAAUGCGAAGAAUAUAUAUAUCCCGCACUACCACAUGAUGCAAAUUGGGACGUUGAACUUUCACAGCAACAUUAGAACCAUCGAGAGUAAUCCCCCAGUAGACCUAAAAUGUGAGGCAUACAAAACACCAGGAACAACCUCCAAAUCAGUAAAAGCAUGUAAUAAAUAUAUAUAUAGAUGCAUAGAUAGAUAGCAACAAAUCCUACUUUUUAGUCAUAACUUAAUUGUAAAGAAAAGAUCCACCUGACCAAAUGACGCUGCAGCCACAGGUUCCUCAGAGAUGUAGCGAAAGAAUGCUUCUACAGGAGAACCUAAUUCUUCUUCAAUGAUCUUCAUAGCCACAUCUCUGGGAAAAGGAGGGAUUUGAUCAUGCAGCCCAGACAACGCCUGCAAUCAUAACUCAAAAUAAAAUAAAAUAUACAAACUUAUCAUAGCAUUUCAUUAUGUGAUAAUCUUUAGAGAGUGCAACAGUUAGAUUCUCCAUAAUUCAAGUCCAGGGGGAUAUAAAAUACAUUUUGUAUCUAAGGAGUGCAUUAACAUAAUUGUAUUUUUAGAGUCCAUGCCAUUUAAACAAAAAUACACACAUGCAUAACUACAAGAAAAAGUACUUGAGCAUGUUAAAGUUCCAUUCAUGCCCAGUUGAAAAUCAUCUUGUAGUUGCAGAGUUGUACCUGCUUAGAAGGAAGAAAUUUUAACAUAGCAGACAGUAAAUGCAUUAAUGCAAAAUAGAAUAGAAAAAUAUCCACCAUCUAACCUUGGAAAUUUCUGGACCAAUGAUAUCUGGUCUUGUGGAAAUGGACUGACCAACUGCAUCAGCAAGCAAAGGCAUGUAACUAGCAUAUUUGUAAUCUUGUGACUGCAGAAAAGGGUAAACGGCCCAGACAGAUAAUUCAAAGAAUAAUAUUGGAUGCAAGAAAAAUAAAAAGAUGCAACUACAAAAGCAAAAGCCAAAAAUUGAAUGUUUGAAUGCAAAUUUCAACUACAUCAUAUUGCUAACCUUUGAUAAAAGUGGGACCAAGGUUAAGCAUAGUUUCUUUUAGCACCAUUCCAAAAUUGUAUGGAGAAAUGUUGCCAUUGAUAUCCCUAUCCAUAUUUGAUCCGUAGAACAUUGUAAUCCCAGAGGUUCGAAUUCUGAUCGCAGCAAAAGCAAAGGAGGAAAACACCUUCCAACACAUAACAUUAUUAAAUUAAUAAGAAUGUACUUCUACAAAAGAAGCCUAGACAACAACUUCAUAUUAAUAAUAUGGCAUCAAAAGACCAUAAGAACAGGGAAAGUCCAUGGCAAAACAUGCACAAAGCAGGCAGCUCUGUCCCCAUCAAAUAGACUGUCUCUCAUUCUAAAAUCAGUUCAUCAUACAAUUUAACAUACUCCAUUGUCAUUUAUCUCAAAUUGGCUCAACAACCCAAGAGAAUGUUUUAAACAGAAAAACAGUCUUCCAUUUAGUUAAAAGAAAGCAUAAGAUUCCUCCCAAGUGUGGCUAUCAAGAGUUGAUGCUAUCAACCAGAAGAAUGCCUUGUGUAUCCUAUGUGCACAUACAUGCCAUGACAUUACAAUUACAAACACUCAGUUAUUUAUGCGAGCAUAAAGCUAAGGAAGACAACUUUCUUGAAAGGGUAACUAAUGUGGCAUUUAGUUAGGUUAUCCACACUCCAAAUCAAAGUCAAAGAACAUAAAAUACUGCCAUUUGAGCUAAGGUAUAACGUUCCAAACAUUACCAGGUUUUGGAAUUAAAAUUAUCUGGAAAAGAAAAUUUCCAUACAAUCUUUAUUACCAGGUAGUGAUACGUUUUGUCAAAAAGCUUCCUACAAGGUUCAUAUGAUCUCUUUUUCCUGAGUGCUCAUCUUGUAUGAGUUUCUAGCUUAAUGUUUCUAUUCAGCAGAGAUGAUUAUUGGCAAGAGAUUAUUAACCCAUCCUUUGGGAUCACAACAAAUUGUAAGUUGCUCCUGCAAGGUUGCUAGUUAUGCUAGAUACGUUGUAUACGGCAGUGCUGUAGGAGUAACCUGUACCUUCCAGAUGGAAUUGUGAUAAGGUAAGAAGUCAUUUUAGUUGGAAUUAUUACAAGAAUAAUGGCUACAAGGUUAUGAAAGGCAUUCUGGCACUUAAGAUUUCCUAGGUUUAGCUCAAGACCCAACUACUCAUCGUCAGUUUUAGAGCAAAUAUAUUCAAAUAACAUUUAUUCCAAGAAAAAAUAAAUUUAUGGCAUAAAGAAAUUCUUUUCUCAAACCUCACUAAAGAAACAUGGUAACCUUUUCCUGAGCUACAGCAUAAAUUAUCCAUCAAAAACAAAUGGAGCUUUAAAGGAACUUUUUUACCAGAAAAUUUUGGAAAAAAUCCUAGGGACUAUUACCCAAGAAAAAAUAAAUUUAUGGCAUAAAGAAAUUCUUUUCCCAAACCUCACUAGAGAAACAUGGUAACCUUUUCCUGAGCUACAGCGUAAAUUAUCCAUCAAAAACAAAUGGAGCUUUAAAGAAAUUUUUUUCCCAGAAAAUUUUGGAAAAAUUCGACUAUUACCUAAAGUAAGGGAUUGUAUAUUUGACAGAAGCUGGAUCCUCACUCAAAACAAGGAGAAAUGAGAUUGGAUCUUUGGAACUCAUAGAUUUUACUAGGGACAAGCAAACAAAUACACCAUUAUGUUCAUGCCCGUUAUUGAAUUUUUACUACCUCAAGAAGCCGAAGGGCCACUAUGUGAGGCCUGCGAUUGAAGUAGUCAGCAACUUCUAGUGGAUCAUAGACUUCAGGAAGUGGCUUAGACCAUAGCUUAGACAGAUGAUAGAAAUAACUAGCAUAUGUCUCCAAGGCUUUGAGAUCAGCCAUGAACAAGUCAACACCAGACAGUCCUGUCAGAAAUGAAAUAUUGCAAUAUCAGUACAAGAAAAGGAAGAUGACAGAAACAAGUCAAGAUGAUUUGGUCUGCAUUCCCCAACCUUAGAAAAAGAUACAUGUGUGAGCUUGUGUGGCACCAUAAGUUUAUUUGGGCAUGGUCCUAAAUAGUAAAUUGGUAUUAUAUAUUCCAUCACAGGACUGAAAUGCCUAAAAAGGCAAUUUAACUUGGCCCGGACAUAAUUUUCACUCAAAUCCUGUCCUAGGUUCAUUAUCUCUAGUCAUAACACUCUCAGUAUUUUUAAUCACAUCCAAAUCAAAUGUCAUUACUUCAAAUCUUACACUUUAUUGAAGUUGUGGUAUACAUAAAACAUCCAUUCACUGUCUGCAAGAGCACAUACAGAUCUCUCUCUCUCUCCCCCCCGCCCCCCACCAACACAUCCAGGGAACCAAUUUCCCACUCGUUGCAAGAAAUGGAACCUUCAUUUACUAUUUUCAAGAGCACACACAAAGAGCUAACUUUGUAAGUGUAAACUUCUCUAUCUCCCUCCCUCCCUCCUUGGAGCCCCUCCCUCCCCAUCCAUCCAGGGAGCCAAUUUCCCUCGAUCCCUCCCUCCCUCCCAAUCCCUCUCCAUCCAUCCAGGGAUCCAAUUUCCCUCCCUCCCUGCUCCCCUCCCCAUCCAUCCAAGGAGCCAAUUUCCCUCUAGUUGUGAGAAAUGAAACCUUCAUUCACUAUUCACAAAAGCGCACACAAAGAACUAACUUUCUAAUUGUAAAACCUCUCUCUCUCUCUCUCUCUCUAAGUGUAAACCUUCACACACACUCUCUCUCACACACACAUGCACCCACUUACACAACUUUGUUCGUGUCUGAUUCCCUUAGGCUACCAGAAAAUAUUUACUGUCAACUUAGGUUUGUUUCCAUCCUUUAAAGCCUCCACAUUGUUGAAGAUGUACAUAAGUGUAAAACCUUUUGUAGGGGGCAAACUAAUUUUGGAUGUGAUGCUUAUUGCAAAUGAGGCCAUAGAUUCAGGGUUGAAGAUCCCUAACAGCAUUCUGAUUUACAAGCCAGACAUCAAGAAGGCAUACGACCAUAUUAAUUAGGGGUUUCCUCUUAACAGUUCUUGACAAAAGAGGUUUUGGCCAGAAGUAGCUUGGCUUAAUCAAUUAGUGGAUCUUUACUACAACGUUUGGAAUUUUUAGAGCUCAAAGGAUUUUAAGGUAGGAGAUCAAUGUAAAAUUUUUGUAGAGGAUAAAUUUUGAAUGUGAUGCUUAUUACAAAUAAAGCCAUAGAUUCAAGGUUGAAGAGCCUUAAUAGCAUUUUGAUUUACAAACUAGACAUUGAGAAGGUGUAUAACCAUGUUAAUUAGCAUGACAUGAUGUAACACAUUGAGACUCAUUUAUAAAUUUAUUUAUCUAUGUUUCUUAGUUUCCCUUUUUUUGUCUCAUAUGCAUUAAUUGAUUAUUUGAGCAUAUAUGACUACAUUACUUGCAUUGUACAUAACUUGGGCGCAUUGGUUAUUUAAGCGGUUAAAAGCAUGCAAAAUAGGAAAAAUAGUUUGGAUGACAUCUACCAAGAGGAUGUUCAAGCACUACCCUGAAGGGUACAUAAGUGCCUCAAGCAUUUUCUCUAGAAAAUUGAAAAAAAAAAAUUGUUAAAAAUUUUCUAAUUUUCCAAAAUAUUUUUUUCCUAAUUAGAUACAACUAAAGACUUAGGGUUUACAUAUAAGAAGGUUUUAAAAAGAAGUAUUUGUGCCAAAGGGAUAUAAUAAUCUGCCUAUUUGGAAAAAUAAACUCAUUUUAUUGAAAAUUGUAAGUAUAACUUCAAUUUGACAUUUUUACCCCCACAUUUUUCUUCUUCAAAGAAGUGCUUAGAUGUGAGAUAGGGAUAAAAAAUUUGAUAAAGGAUAUUUUUUUUCAAAAAAGGUUAUUUUUCAUGUUUUUAAAAGAUAAAGGUCAUUCUUCCAAAUACAUGAUUAUGUUAUCUCUUUUAAUCAAUAGCCCUUUUAAAAACUCUUUUUGAGUGUGUGAAAUAGAAAACCCUUAAAAUCAAAAGACACCAUUGUUCUGCCCUACUUUUGAAAACCCUCAAAACUAUAGAUCAUGUUUGAAGAAUCUUGAAAGCCCUUUCAAAAAGGAAAAGCAAAGAUCAUGGAUUCUAGUUGUCGAGCAUCGAUAUAGUUUUGAGGUAAUCAACUAAAGAACACAAGGGUGUGUAGUGUCACAAAUGUGAAGAAUUUGUGUAGAUAGCAUUCGAUAUAAAACUUGUAGGUAGAAGCAUCUGGACCAAUAAAAUGUGUACGAUUAUUUCCGAUUUAGUAGAUUUUUUCUAUGAUCAAUGAACUCAUGGUUUCUACAUCUACAAAGAUUGUGACAAUCUCUAUAGGUGAUUUUCCACGUAUAUAUGAUGUUCAUGUGUGAUUGGAUAUUUCUUGGAUUAUUAGGACAAGUAUCAAUUCUCACUAGGUUAAUCUAAAAGGCAUAAUUGAUUUGCCACGUAUAUAUGAUGUUAAUGUGUCAUUGGAUAUUUCUUGGAUUAUUAGGACAAUUAUCAAUUCUCACUAGGUUAAUCUAAAAGGCAUAAUUGAAACUCAUUAAUCAAUUUCAGAUAAACCUAAAAGUUAUUUAUUUAAAACAUUCCAUUUGAACAUCAAAUUUUCACCAUUCACAAGAGCAUACACAGAGAAGCACAAGGCAACACCCACAUAAAGAUGCAUAAAGGUAGCUCCCUCUCUCUCACUCCCAAUUUCCCACUUCCAUUGGCAUAUGCUAAUUUCCUACUUCUAUUAGUAUAUGACUCACUUAGGGAACCACCAAAAAUUUAUUUCCUACCAAAGUUUGUUUCAAUACUUUAAACGUUACACUCUGUUUAGGAUGUGGUUUAUAUAUGUAUGAAUGCACACACACUCUUGAAACACACAAAGGUAUCUUUUUUGCACUAACUUUCCAAAUCCAUGAAGCCAAUUUCCCAGUUCUGCUGGCAUCUCAUUCCCUUAGGCAACCACCAAAAUUUGCCUCAAUUGCUCAAUCAUUUUAAAAAAAUAACACAAGAGUCAUAUCUAUGUGUGCAUAAGAUACAAUUGAAGAAAGGACUACUAAUGAACAAUGAUAAGCUAUAAAGUAUUGUCACUAUAUCUUUCUUUGCUGUAGGAACGUCACAUGGAUUCCCCUCCCCUAAAUAAAUAAUGUGAUUCUAUUUGGUCCUUGGAAAUAAGGGGGAAAGGAAAAUAAAAGAAAGCACCUAUAAAUGAUUUCUCCAAAUUAAAAUCCAAUAAAUGAGAAAUGGAACUAAAAGUCUGAUAGAGUUCGUCCAUAAUUGGCCACUCAUAGUUAAAACUAUAUAGCAAUUUCAACUAUGCAAGUUACAGGUCUAUUGAAGUGGUGAUGCCCAUUCCACCUUUAAAAUUGUUCCGAGGGGUAAGACAUAAUGUCUCUGAGUGCUUUUCAGAUAAAUUCAAUCUUUACUUACUACUUCAAAUUUUAGGAUUUGUCGAGUAGGUUACUUUCUAUUUGGACGCUUAAGUUAUAGGGAAAAAAAAAAUUGUGUUUAUGCAUUCAGCUCAUCUCAUUCCAAGUUUUACUUUCUUGCAUUGCAAAUAAAGCCGAAGUCCAAUAUUUCUUGCUUUUCCACACUUUCCCUCCAACCAAAGGAAUACCAACCAACACCAUGAUAAUUUUCACAAAUUCUCACGCGAGCUUCUCUGAUAUUGCAUAAUCGCCCUCAAAAGCAACAAAUGGAGCAUAAACUAUGUAAGUGAUUGAAUCCCCCCUUCUGCAGCUAGAAAAUAAAAGACCACAUACAAGAAAACAAAACCUCCAUUUAAUUAACCCGAAAUUCCUACAAUUCGCUCAGUUGAAAUUAGCAUUUCCCUUUCCGGAAAGCAAACAACAUCAGACACAAAGAUUUUCAAGAAUCAUUUCUUUCUGUUUCCCUAGUUUUCUCGACCAUUAAACCCGCCAAGAACCCUCAAGCAAUCCAUCUCCAAAACAAGCAAAUAACACAUACAAAAAGAGAGAUGAAGAGAAUCCAGCACAGACCUGGAUAAGAAGGUUGGGGCCAAGAAGGAGGAGGCAAGGAAGCGGCAAGAGGAUCUUCGGUCAUUCGAAGCCAGAGAAGACGGUCUAGGGAUUUGGAAAGCUGAGGAAUGCGAAGAGCUCCGUUGGCCCACUGAACGCCUCUGCCAAUUCGCUUCUUGAGGAACUCCAUGUCCUUGCCGACCACCUCGCCGAAGCUGGCCACAACACGCGGCGGUUUUGGCUUACUUGAGGAGCCUCGAGCGGAGUAGAGUACGGACAAGGGCAUCGACGAAGACGAUGCUGAUAGCGUCGCCAUUGAAGGAUAGCGAAGAAAGAAGCCCCCGGAACGCAAUGGCGUCUAUGGUGUGUGGCUCUUCUUUGGGCACUUCACUCUUUUGAUGCGUUGUCAAGGUCGGUCACUCUCCUUGUGGCUUAGAGAUGGAGACGGCCUUACAAGAGUGGCGGUUGGGCAUUAAUAUAGCAAUAUAAUGCUUCCUUUUGAUGAUUGGGAAUGGAAAAUGGUCUGUUUUAUUAUUAUAAGCCAAAACCACCUUCCGUGGUUUUUUUUAAAAAUAAAAUAUAAAAAGCAGGAAUAAAAUUAUGUUGGGAGUGCUCUUAUGAUCAUAUUUAGAUUUGCAACAUAUUUCUUUAUAACCUUCUUAUCUUAUGUCGAACACUUUGAUGUUUGACAUUUUGCAACACAUUUCUUUAUAACAUUAUCUUAUAUCAAAGACUUUUUUAAUGUUUACUUUUUGGCACAAGGUUGGAUAGGUGUUUAUAAUUAAGUGGUUGAUGGUUUUUCCCCCUUUGGUACAUUAAAGUCCGUUUUACAAUAAUUUUAGGAAGUCUUUCAAACUUUUUAACAUUUUAAAAUUUAUAUCAUUUGCAUGUUAGAAAUACUAAAAACGUUUUCUAAAAUCACUAUUAAAUGCACUCAUAGUUUAGUUUCCAUAUUAUGAGUAUUAAAAUAUAAGUCAUAUUUAGUAACUAUUUUUAAAACAAUUUUUGAUAAAAGUUUUCAAGUUUUUUCAAAUUGUUCUUUAAUGUUUUAUAAAACAAAAGUUUGUUUGAAAACUUGAAAAUAUUUUAACCUAUUUUUAAUAUUUUAAAAAUAAUUUUUAUAUCCAAUGUUUUAUUUUUAAUCAUUUUACAUGCUUAUAUAUCCAAUGCUUUAUUUUUGUUCUUAAAAACAAAUAACAAAAAACAGGUUUUGGUUACCAAACGUGUUUUUUUUGUUUUAAGAGAACAAAAAAUUAUUUUUGAAAACAGUUGUCAUAAAGGACCAUACUUUUUUUAUACUUAUGAAAACAAGUUAUAUUUCAUAUAUUGUCACUUGGAUAUUUCAAGUUUUAUUAUUUUGUACUUUAAUUUAAACUCAUUGUACAUUAGAGUUUAUUUGGCAAUGAAGUGUCUUUUUUUUUCAAGCAUUUUAUAGAAAAUUAUAAAUCUAGUGUUUCUUCGAAAAGUAAUAUAAGUUAUUUUUCAAAAUUUUAAAAGUAUUUUCUAAAUUUGGUCAAAUAUUUAAUUUUUCUUCAAAAAUACUUUCUAAAUUAGAAGUAAUUUUUAGAAACAUUGCAAAAAAUAAUAAUAAUAAUCUUAAUCUUAUUUAUUUGUAUGUUAGUUUUAUUCAUUAAAUUUAUUUUUUAUACAUUUGUAUCUUUAUUCAAUAACUCAAAUAUCAUCCUUUACCUCUCAUAGUCAAAAUUCGAAGUUUGAUAAUUUUCCUUGAUUUUUAUCUUCACUAUUACAAGAAAGGGACAAUAAUAAUAGUUAAUAUGGCUUUUAAUCUUUCAAAGCUCCUCUAAACAAAACUUUAAUGAUAGUUAAAAUUAAUAUUUAAACAUCAUGUUUAGUUCUCGGAAAAUUUGAGGGAAAAUGUAAGGGAAAGAAAAUAGAGAAGAAAAGUAGAAGAAAAUAAUAAGUGAAAGAAAAUAAAAAAAAUAAGUGUUAAAUUCAAUAAAUUAUUUUUAUUUACUAUUUCAAACUUAUUUUAUUUAUUUCAAUUCAUCAAUAUAAAGAUUAAAUAAUUAAAAAAUACAUAAGUUUCUAACUAAUUUUAAUUAUAUUUAAUUUUCUUUGAAUUUUUUUAUAGGACAAUUAAACAUAAGAAAAUCGAAUUUUAAAAGAAUAUGUAUUUUCAAAAAGAUAAAAGAUUUUAUACAAAUUUUUUUUAAAAAAAAAUAGGCAAUUUUAUGCAUUAUAUAUAUAGAAUUACUUUUAAGAAGGGAUAUGCAUUUAUAUAAUGCACUGGUGUGUCAACUUGUGACGUCUGUUAUGAGUGAUCCAAUGGAUGAUGGAGAUUGCUUUGAAACUUUGGUAGAAAUAUUAUGAAAAGAAAAGUAGAAAAAAAAAUUAAAAAUAGGUUUAAAGUUAAUAAAUUAUUUUUAUAUGUUUUUUCAAACUCAUUCUAUUUAUUUAUUUUUAUUAUAUAAAAAUUAAAUAAUUUUAAAAUACAUCAUUUUUAACAAAUUUUAAUUAUAUUUAAUUUUCCUUCAUUAUUUUUUACAAUGAAAAUGAACAUGAGAAAACUAUUUUUUUAAUAUUUUUUAUUUUUUAGUACUUUUCGUGAAUCUAAUAUAGUUUAAGUGUUUGUUAAAUUUUAGGAUAUAUGGGAGGUUCAUGUGAGAAAAGAGAGACAAAUUAUUGCACACUAAAGAGUAAAUUGAGAAAAGAAAGGCCUCCAUUGAAGUAAUCUUUAUAUUUAGGUUGAGCUCAAGAGUAAAACCCCAAAUUGAAAUUAAAAAUCACAUUUUUUUUUUAAAAUAAUGAUAUAGUAAAGUUUCUUUAGUUAUAAAAUUUUCUUGCUUUUUUAAUAUUAAAUUAUUUUUUCAAAGGUUAGUUUGGUUUCAAUAAAAUUACUUUUGGGGAAAUUAAACUAUUUGAUAAAUUAUAAUAAUUAAAGUACUAUGAGCUUGUUGUGUAAUGAGAGUGUUGAGGUGUUUUUUUAUUUUAUUUAAUUUUUUUUGUAAUCACGUUUUUUUUAAUGGAUUUAAGAAACACUCAUGCUGGAAAUGUGAUUGUGGGUAUAUAAAAUGUCUAUACAACAAAGUAGCAACAAAAAACAGAAUAAAAAAAUUCAACUAUUUUUUUCUGUUCAUAGUAUUAGAGCAUUUUUCCAUCAAUGGUAAACAUUUAUGCUACUGAUUCCACUCCAAUAUCAUUGUAGUGGGCCCAUUGGAGUAGUAUAAAAGAAGUUUUUACUCGUUGCAACUGACUACUUCAACAAGUGGGUGGAGGCAGAAGCCUAUGCUAGUAUCAAAGAUGAAGAUAUCGCCAAGUACAUUUGGAAAAAUAUCGUAUAUUGGUUCGGAAUUCCACAAGCAAUUGUUACGGAUAAUGGGCCUUAGUUUGACAACGUCGUCUUUUGAACAUUAUGCUCAGAGCUAAACAUUAAGAAUUUGUACUCAACACCCCACUAUCCACAAAGCAACGAACAAGUAGAUGCGACAAAUAAAACCCUGUUGAAUGCAUUGAAGAAAAUGUUGGAAGGAGCAAAAGGAAAAUUGGUAGACGAGUUGUCCGAAGUCUUAUGGGCCUACCGGACAACAUCCAAAUGGUCAAUGGGAGCCACUCCCUUUGCCCUUGCUUAUGAGAUGAAAGCUAUCAUACCAACCAAAAUUGGCAUGCCUACUAUCAAAACAACCGUGCAAGAUCAAAGGGACAACGAUGAAAAACUCAUAAGGCAAUUGGAUUGGGCUGAUAAAAAGUGAGAAGAUGCAACUAUCUAGAUAGCUUCUUACCAUCAGAGGGCAAUCACUUAAUACAACAAAAGGGCACGACCAUGGUUUUCUGGCCAGGAUCUUUGGUCCUCAGAAGAGUUUUCGAAAACACAAUUGAAGUGAGAGUCGGAAAGCUACAAGCUAAUUGGGAAAGACCUUAUGUUGUAAUUAAGGCAAGAGACUCAGGAACAUACUAUCUCCAGACACUAGACAAUGUGCCCAUGCUCCACCCAUGGAAUGUAACCAACUUAAGCAAUAUUAUCAAUAAAAGUUGCUUAUGAAAAUAGUGUAGCAAGAACAAAUGGUUAAAGAAAGCACACUUGAAGAAAAAUUAAUAAGUGCAGUCAUAUUGAAGAAAAAAGCUCAAAAGAGCAUGCAUUGUAUGUCCAAAUAUGAAAGUCCAGGCCACAGACAACCAAAGUAAAGAAAUGAAAGAGAAGUCAAGUUUGCUCACCAUGGGAGCCGUCUUCAGUGGAAAUACUGCCUCUUAGAGCAUGUCUGUCUCCUGACAUAGACCCGUCUCCUUGGGCAGGGGCACCAAAAAACUCAUCUUCCUCAUCAUUAGAAGGGAAGCUGAGAGUAUCAUUGGCAAUGUCAUGCUUCUUCAUACAACAUCGUUAGCCAUAAAAGAACAUGUCAUCCGCCUGCUUCUGGUAGUCCGCUUCCAGAUCCUCUUUUUGAGCGACAAACCCUGCCCGGAGGUCUUGUAACUCCCGCCUUAACCGGGCAAUUUCUUUUUUAGCAUUCUCUUUCUUUGCCACCAUAGUUGCCUUCUUCUCAGCCAACCGACGAGCCUCAACCUGAGACUUUUCCUUCUUCUCAUCGACCUUCCUCAAUAGACAAGCACCUUUCUUAGUCAACUUUCGGGUAGUAGCAACCUUGCUCUUUAUCGUCUCUAAGUCGGCUAGGAGCUCCUUGUUUCCAUCCAUGUUGUGGGCAAUGUAUGCCCUCAUGGUUUCGGCUGCUUCCAAUCAUUGAAAGAGGUGUGCUAGUUGCCACAUGAGGUUACGAACUCUGACUAUCACUUGGGGACAGCAAAGAUCAUUAUGAAACAAGAGACUAAAGGAAAAACGAGAAAAGUCACUAGUGAAAAAGAGGGAAAUGGCUUACCACUUCCAUUGUCUCAAAAGUAGUGUAGUCCUUCAUAUGAAUUAUGCGGGUAAUGACAGUGUCUGUAGUACCAUAAGGAAGUCGUGUCAUGAAAGACUGGUUAGGGUCUUCAUCCACCUCAAUCAGAAUUCAUUGCAUAGCCAGAAAGAGCACCCUCAUAUCUUGCACUAGAGGCUCAUUUUCGGUGAAAGAGGGGAUACGACUCAGAAGCUUUGACACUUCCUUCUUGCUAGGGAGAUAGGUUGGCUUCGGGUGGAGAAGAAAAGAAUUUGAAUACUCGAAUAAGUCCUCAUUGAUGUUCCCCAAUAAUAUGAAGGGUUUCCUUGUCACGUGAUAGGAAAUGUCGUCAAUAGAGAAAGAUUUUUCAUUUGGGCCCGAAGCGACGGUUGUAGCAGAAGUCGACGGUGUUAGCUUGGAUAGAGAGUCUGAACCGAGUGUCGAACAGGCUUUCUUUAAAGGAGAGGGGUCGAUAACAAAUUAACAAUAGAUUUAGACAAGUGCUUACAUUGCCUCUCAUGGAAUCCGACUCUUAAGUUGGAGGUCAUUUACUCUUCUUCUUCCUUCUCACAAAUAAUAGGGGGCACCAGCCAGUUCACCCCUAUUUCUACUUUGUUGUUGGAAGACAAAGAGGACGGAGAAGAUGAAGACGAUGAAGACAGGGUGGCAAGAGGCGGAGUUCUUGCUUCUAGACGGGAUGAGUCGCAGAGUUCUUAUUCUUCUAGGCAGGAGGAUGGACAACGGAGUUGGAAGUCAAAUGGCUAGCAGGUGGAGCUUGCCUAAAUGUUUUCUUUUGGAACUUCUUCUCCCGUUCUUCUAGAUGAUCGUGACAUGCUUCAAAAUCUGCCAAACGAUCAAUCUCAUAGAAAGACAAAUCCUUUAGCACAAAAUGUUCGUUAGGUACCAAAGACAGAGGAGCUAGUGGGGGAAACACCGAAAUGAUAAACGGCUUGAUAUUUUCAAUCAGCGCUUGUAAGUUCUUGUCCGAUAGGAGAAGGUUGUGAGCUAGUUCAGUAGUGCCUAUUUCGAACAACUUGUUAAGAUGGGCGAAUGAAGCCUUCUCCAUUUACUUUACAAAGUGUCCUCGUUUCUCCUUACAUGCAUUAGAUGAACAUAAAGAUCGUGAGUAGAUUAGCAACAAGGAGGAAAUAAUAGUAAAACGAAAUGAAAGUGAUAAAAGUAUGGUCUACUUGGAACCUCCAAUGAGUGUUACCGAGAAAAAACUCUGUUUGGACCCUCAGACGAACCACUCCAAGGGUCGAACACCAAAACAUGCCCCAUGGCCUAGCCUUUGCUCGGGUCUGGAAGAUUGGUCACCAACUGGAGAGAAGGAAUGUGGGCAUACAAGUUGACCUUCUCAUUAUGGCUUAUCUUGAUAGUAUAGAUGAACAAGACUUCCAGUAAGGAAAUAUCUAAUUGGAAAAACAUGUCCAACACAUUGCACCCCAUAAGUAUUUGAAUGAUGUUCGAAUGAAGAAAGACUAGAGGGAUUUGUGUGAAGUGAAAAAAUUGUUUAAAGAGGGAAGGAAGGGGGAGACGGAGCCCUAUAACAAAUUGCUUCUUAGUAAAAUAUAUCAUGUUAUUCGGAAGGUCGACGGAGGAUAGAGCCUUGCCAUUUGUUAAUUGAAUUAGGAUGGUGUUUGGAAUACGCAAAUGAGCCUAGAAUUCCCGCUUGGAUAGGACACCAAUUGAACGGUCCAAUCUAAGACGCCCGACUCUAGUAUUUUUUUCGUCCACCUCGCUGAGGUAUUCCACUGGUAGAAGUAACUCUUCUUCUGUCCAUUAAACUAGAUGGAUCCGGGCUGUGUGGAAACCUACGAGGAUCAAUGCAAUUUUUAGAACCAAUCACCCAGUCCAUCCAUCGUUCAACGUUUUCUUAGCGACAGAUAAAUAAACCUAAACAGACUAUAGUCCGAGUUUAGACAGAUUUGGCUGCUCAAACUUGCAAAACAAGCUUGUUCGCCGAAGAUAGGGAAAAACAUGAGACAACUACACAAAUACAAGGACGACAUAGAAAUGAGCAGGGAGAUCGAAAAACCUUAAAUUUGGACAUCAAUACGUCCAUUUCUUCCCCAAACAAACAACAUGAGUGAGCAGGGAGACUGAAAAGCCCAAAAUAUGGACAUCGAUGUGUCCAUUUUCUCUCCAAACAAACAAGACCAACACAAUCCGAUAAAUAAUAACAAGCACAACAAAGGAACAAAUGGGCGGUAGAAAACUUAUCAAAGUUAAGAAUGAAACACUCUCUAGCGGAGAAAAGAUCAUCUGGUAGCAAACCAGUUAUUGACGAUGAUAAAUGCAAAGGGGAGCAACUGGUGGUAAGCAUAGUGAUAGUGAAAGAGCAACGUAGGUGAGAGAACACUAAGCGGGAGAACCAAAUGGGUGGAACCUCGCUAUUUAUAGGGAACGAAAACUUGAGCAACCCAAGAGACACGUUACCUGACAACCAGCCUCGGUUGAUGUGACCCAUCAUUAAAGCACCAAAUGACACACAUCCCUUGGCAUCCAAAAACUUGAAAAAACAGAUAAUUUGUCAUUCAUCAGCCCGUCAGAUACCUGAUCGGACAGAGGUAGACGAAUUAAGGGGCAUUGUGGGAAGCUUCCCACCACGUGUCAUUCCCAAGCUCAAGACCCUUUGAUCGUCCAAGGUAAGUAGAUAAUCUAUCUAGGAUCAAUCCAUUUGGACUAAGAUAAGUUUCAUCUGGCACAAGAGGAAAGAUAGAUUUCCUUCUUCCCCAAUGUCAGACGAAAUGGACAGACCAAGUCAACUAAGACUUCCAGACAGAUAAACCAACUCAAUAAAAAAUUCCAAACAUUGAAUAGAUGAUUAAUCACACUCAAUGCUUGAGCUACAAUCUAGAUGACAUUUACACCCAAAAAUUAAUGUUAAUCAAUCGUUAUACAUAAUCAGCAACAUUAACAAACAUAAAUGCACAGUCAAUGAUAUGGUCUGAGAUUCUUGCACAACAGCCAACAAAUGGUACCAAUCAACAACUCUUAUUUGGUAUGAUUACCUAGUUUGCGCUGAGAUGAUUGCGUUGACUACCUUAUUAAGGCUUAGUAUUCGCCAUGAAGGCGAUCAUCAACGCAAGAAAAGCAUGAAUGCACAAUCAAUGAUGUGACGAUGGCGCCAUAUAUUCUAUAAAAACCCCUCGAGAAGCAUGAAAAAAGUACGAGUGCAUAUAACCAUUCAAAAAGUUGGACUCACUUUUGCUAGAUUCUAACUUAAGUUUCGGAGGGGUAUGUUCGGACCACCUAUUCGAAUAUCCUUUUGUGCAAGGAAGAAAUCUAUCUAACUCUAGUGAAGCUAGACGAACCUGCAUCCAGUUGGCACAACACCAACAAUUCCCAUUAGGGACGGAUGGAUACUUUGAUUAUCAUUCUUUGUAGGUCCUCAUGUAGGAUGAAUAAACACUUUACCUAUGCCUUAUUUCAUAAGGGUGCACACGCAAAUUAAGAUGUUGUCAACUUAUGAGGAUCAUAAGCAAAUAUCUGGUUAUGGCUUCCAUACCUCAAGGAAUGUGAACCCAUAUGUUAAUGGCUCAUGGGUUUCUUCAAUAUCAUAUAAAGGUAAUUAGCUUGAAGUAACACAUUAUACAAAGUAUUCUUUUUUCUUCUUCAUCUUUCCCUUCCAUAUUUCUUUACAACAAGCUUGCUAACUCAAUCAUCAAAGACUGAUCUAUUGCACCCACCACAUCUAAUACUUCAUUUUGUUUUAACUUGCAAGAAGUAUAUACUUCGACGGUGGACAAGAUUGCUACACUAGACAAUAGAGUUGUAGAGAGAUAUUUUAAGAGAAAGCUAGUUGAAAAAUUGUUGCUCCAACAUCUUUAAGGGUUUGCGGGACUUCUUGAAAGAGAUUAGGCAUUUUGCAAUAGAUUUGAACUCAUAGACUUUUCAACAAAAAAUUCACUUUUCAAAGCCUUGGUAGAUUUUGCUCAUCAGCUUACAACAAUGACCUUAUGAUUCAAUUCAAAGUUAAGGUGGUGUUUGUUUUUUUGACUUUUUGUUUAAAGCAAUUUGUUUUUAGAAUUUAGGUUGUUUAUUUUUUUAUUUUUUCAUAACUUAUUAUAAGCAUUUUAAUAAAUAGAAAAAAACCAAAAUAUGUGACUUUUUCUAAAUAAAAAAAAAUAACUUAUUAAUUUUUCUUUACUUUUUAAUAGUUAAUAAAAAUAAAAUAUUACAAAAACAAAUAACGUAAUAUUUAAUACUAUUAAACAUUAAUGUUCUAUUUAAAAUUAAAUAAAAAACAAACACACCUUAGACUAUACCUCUUUUAUCCCGUGGUUUCUAAAAAUGUGAAAAUGUUGAAAUUGAAGUUAAUAAAUGCACAUUUGUAUGCAAUUUUAACUCAAUGACUGCAUGCUCUAUAUUAUUUUAUUCCAAGAAUAAUGUCCUCCACCAUAAAAAAUAAAAAAUAAAAUAAAUAAAUAAAUAAAUAAAAGGGGACAAUUUUCUUAUAAAUUUGCAACAACUUGGCUGAUUUUUUUCUGUCCUAUAGUGAACCACCACCAUACAAAAAAACAGAUAGAUAACGUAUCCACGUAUUCACAUGAUAUUCUAUGUGGACUGCUAACCAGAUUGAGAGAAGCCACUUGGCCCAAUAACAAGCAAGUAAGCAUCCACCUUUAGCCAAUGAGAAUCUACAUUUGGAUUUUCCCAUAUCUCUCCUCCUCAUACUUCUGCUACUUAUCUUCCCUCUUCUUCCAUCACUGCCAAUUCUUCUCUCUCACUCGCUCAUCAAACACAUCUCUCCAUUUUCUUGAAGAUGGCAUCCACUGUGCUGAGAAGCUGCGGCGUCGCCGCUGUUGCCCCAUCGCUGCUAUCUUCUUCCAAGUCUAAAUUCGCCACCUCGCUGCCACUCCCCAAUGCUGCCGCCGGCUCUGCCCGGGUCACCAUGUCUGCCGACUGGAUGCCCGGCCAGCCCCGCCCACCCUACCUUGAUGGCUCCGCCCCUGGGUAAGAAUAAUGGAUCAAGUGUUUGAUAUUUAUCUUUGAAGCAGUAGAUCAUGUUUGAUGAAAAUUUUGGUGGAUGUGUGUGGUGUUUAUGUGUUUCAGUGACUUUGGAUUUGACCCACUUCGGCUUGGUGAAGUCCCAGAGAAUCUGGAGAGAUAUAAGGAAUCCGAACUUAUCCACUGCAGAUGGGCUAUGCUCGCUGUUGUAAGUUUCAUGCGAAAACCCAAACUUGGGUGGUUGCUACACUUUUGACGCGAUAACUUCAAUUACUUCCUGCUUGGUUGUUGAGAAAAUGGACGCAAGAAAAGAAAAUUGAGUUUCAGCUCUACUUAUUUUUGUUUUUCAUAAAGCUUAAACCUCAACUGAAAUGAGAUGGUUUCUGUAAUUUUGCAGCCGGGAGUCCUAGUGCCAGAAGCCUUGGGCUUAGGCAACUGGGUACAGGCUCAAGAGUGGGCAGCAAUUCCAGGAGGCCAAGCCACCUACUUGGGCAACCCAGUCCCAUGGGGCAACCUCCCGACAAUUUUGGCGAUCGAAUUCCUGGCCAUUGCCUUUGUUGAGCACCAACGCAGCAUGGAGAAGGACACCGAGAAGAAGAAGUACCCUGGUGGCGCUUUCGACCCAUUAGGCUACUCCAAGGACCCUGUCAAGUUCGAGGAAUA